AUGUAGAGUGAAAGAUAUUUGACUUUCUAACUUCACCAUUGUUCAGAAAGGGCAAAAAUUGGCUGUUGAAAUCAGUUUUGUCCAAUCAAUUUUCAUUUUUCAGUGAGAUUGCAAAUGAAAAAGAAUUUGGCUCUAGUCUGCCUUACUAGCCAAUUUGUGGUGCUUUGUCAAACACUGUUUCUGAAUCUGCUUUGAUUUGGCCGGCAAUUAUCUAGUGUUUUUGUUUUGAGUGGCAGUAUUAUCUCUUCUCUGACUUUUGUAACUAUACUACCAAUUUAUUUUCAAUUAGGUAAUUUUUCAUCCCAUUUUUUUUUGCUCUCUUUUUAGAGGUCUGUGCUGUUGGUGCUUAGUUAUGUUUUUCUAUAACAAAUUCCAAACUAUGAUACUUACUCGAAUUAAUUAAAUCCGCUAAAGGUAAUCAAAAUUUUAAAACUAUGUUUUUUAUGAGAAUAAAACUAUACAUAUGUUAUUUUCUGAGAAGCUAUCUUAAAAAGCAUAUACUUGUGUUUAGUGUAAUUUUGAAUUUUCCUAUUUAACUCUUGUUCCUUCCUAUGCAUCAAAUGUACUAUGGAUGGCCCAGAUUUGUUCAAGGUUCCUGUGUGCAUUUAUUUAUAGGGUUGGAUCCCCAUCAUCAUUUUUGAGAUAAAAAUAAUUCUUCAAUUCCUUGAGCAAUACACUAACUAAAUUAUGAAAUUUUACAUGAAGUAUUUUGAAUCUUUAUCUUUAUCAAUUUUCAAAAUAUCUACUAAUCAGUUUCUUGAACUGUUAAUUUACUUAUAACUAGUGGAUCAGUGAUUGUCAAACAAUUAAAUUGGGUACUAGAAAGAUUUUGUACUCUCUGACUAUGGCAAAGACUACAUCUGGCUCUCUAAUGUUUAGUUUCUUUUAUCUGCAUUGGGUGAUGGAGCAGAUUCAUAUAUGAGUGGCAUAGCAAAUCUCAUGAAUUUUAAGAAGACGGGAGCACCAAACUGGUGUCUUCAUAUUUAAGUGGCAUAAAUAAAAUGCAUAACUACUUUUAGUUUUUGCAUUCAAUAUGUAUUCAUUUAUGAAUCACAAAGCAAUAAAUUGUAAAAAAAAUAUUGAAUUGGGGUUGUUUUUGAUAAUACAUGGGACAACAAAUUAUGCAUGAUUGGAGAGUGGAGAAGAAGCAGUAGGUAUCAGCUGCAUGAGCAAAAGGAUUUUAAUGAAUAUGUGUUGCCCUAGGUAAAUUAAUUCAGUUACUAGGAUCAUCGUAAUAGUUUUAGAUCAUGGCAUCUUUUAUGUGAGAUAGACCGUGGAUGGAAAUUUUGGGACUGCUGAUUGUGCAUUCUGUGUGAGCUUAGUUACUAUUAGCAGUCUGAUGGAUCUAUAUAUACAAAUAUCUGAUGUACACAUAUGGAAGUACAUAUGCACACAUACAUGUAGAUAUGUAUACAAAUGAUAGUAUUGAUGGAAGGUGCAAUUGUAUCAAAUCAUGAAAAGAAAAGGCAUGCAUGGCUGCAAAUGAAAUCACACUAGGCACACCAAGCUAAAAGUCAAGUUUGAGUGCUGUGUCCUGAAUAGUUUUGACAUACAUAUGUUUAUUUGGUUAGCACCUUGUAACCCAUAUUGUUGCCUCCUAUUAGAUGGCACUGCAUGGAUAUAAUUGUUAGAGAAUUGAGCGUAUAAUUAUGAUGUGGCACACUGGUUAGAGCCAGACAGAUGGAAGCAGAAUCUUUUUUUUUUGGCGCCUUUGGGUGGGGGUGGUUAGGCAGGAUAACACGCCACUUCAACCUCAGCCACCCCAAAGUUUUUUUAAUAAAUAUUUGAUCAGGUAUUCUUAAUGUUUGGCUAUAUGUUUAAUAGACUGCCCCUUUCGAUCAAUUGUGUUGACAUUGUUAUGACAUUCCUUAUCAGUUACUUCAUGGAUUAAACUUGUAUAGGCUUUGUAAUCUGCCCCAACAAUCAAAGGGACUAGUUGUCAAGUUGCUUCGUGGCUCGUAGUUGAGUUGCUUUAAUUUUUUAAUAAUCCAUGAGUUGGGAAUUUAAAGGAGGGUUGCUGUAUUGCCUUCUUUAAACAAUAAGGAGGUAUUUUCAUUUACUCCUAUCUAUCAACAGUUAUACAUGGACGGUCUGGAUUAUAUGUAGUGAUUUUCAGGAAAGUCAAACCCUCCCAUUGCACAACUUGCACCCACAAUAUUCAGAAAACAGAACUCUUUUCUUUAAGUUAUGAAUUCAACUCUAAGUUGAGUUUGGAAAAAGAAGAAACUAAACUUGCACCCAUUGCAUAACUUUUUCAUAUCUAAGUUUGAUCUUUUAUGAUAUUUUUUGGGAAAAAAAUGAUUUUGAUGCCCUCCUUUUUUCCCCUUUUUCAUCAAAGAAGAGGAAGAGUAAUGUCUAUUUUCUUGAUUCAUAUAUUUUAUAUUUUUAAUUUGUUUUAUUUUUUUCUCAAUUUUUAUUCAUAUUAUGCUUUUUAACUCACUUGUAUAUCUGAAAUAUUUUGAAAUUCGAAUACGGGAGCAAUAUCUUCUGCUCUCUCUUUUUUUAGUUGCUUGCACCUUCCUCCUAGAACCCACCCCGACCAAAAUAAACAUAAGUAGCGCUAAAAUCUUGGAUCUGGCAGAUUGGCACCAAUGUUACAGGUGCAUCUUGGCAUGCACUUUCAUUCUUUAGAAGUACAUUCUUGUAUACAAACAUACACACGCCUCUAUACAUACACGCCCCUCUAUGUGGUGACAUGCUUUAAGGGAUGAGUCCUUUGUAAGUUUAUUUAUAUGGCGUUCUGUUGUGUUGGAAUGGCGUACACUCCAGCACUUCUUUCCUGAAAUUGAUUCUAUCAAGCUGGGAUCUUAAAGGAAACUUGGAGACCGACCAUGCAUGCUUUGCUGCCCAUCUUUACAUUUUUGCCAUCUGUGUCAACUUAAAUAUUAGAGCGAUCUAGCAUGUACACCAAUUGCUGGAAAUUAGGAAACUCAUCAUUCUUUAGCUCCUCUUUAUCAACUUCCAUGUAAUAUUUUAGUUGAUAUUUAGAAAAGAAGGUAUUCUCUGAGUACUGAGUUGUACAAAUGUCAACAGCCAUGAUGAUAAUAAAUUGAAUCUCUCGAUUGGAUGCUAGCGGGGUCCUCAAUGCGGUGUUAGUUACUUAGGAUGCUGUUUCAUUGAAAUAUGACCUGUGGAGAUCACAGUUGUUUGUACUGAUAGUCUGCAACUUCUUUAUUACUUUUUCUUACUCUUUGCAUUUAUUGCACUUGUUUAAAAUAGUGCAUGAAGUAUCCUUCUAUGGUUACAUGCGUUACUAAUGCAAGUAAAGCAAUAUGUGAUGGCAGCAACUAACUAAUAAGCAUUAUGCUAAGGAAGAUUAUGAACUUUGUGUCUGAUCCAGUAGAAGUGAAAUAUCUGUGAUGGGUGGGUGGACAGGUUCCUAGUGAGUUCAUGUGCUCAGAGAACUGUCAUCUUUUGAAGUGUAUCCCUUGUGAACAUUCUUCUGCUUAUUUUUUAAAUUUAACAUCCUUUCCAGAACAUGCGGCAGAUGAGGUAUAAGAGGUUGCGUUCUUUGUAAAAGUGAACUCUUAUAAUAGUCACUUUCUUCUUGAAACGUAUGGCUUGCUUGAUGAAGAUUUUACAUGCAAGGAUGUUAGACAUCGGUAAAAUUCAUUUUUCAUUUGAAGUUUCUGGCUUCUAGAAUCACUGCAUGGGUUAGUGUAUUACUGUUUAAGAAUUUGCAUUUUGAAAUUAAUAGUUCAUCAACAUGCGUUAUUUGUUGAAGAUAAUUAUGAUGAUGGCUUAUAUAAUUGGUCAACUUAUCAACUUAUGUUCACUGCAGAGAAGAAAGCCACAUAUACUUGGUCUGAAGUUUUUACCAUUGUUUUCUCCUCACCUGUUUCGGGGGCUGGAUGCUUUAAUAAUAGCAUGUUGCAUGGAUGGCAUAGUUGAAGUUUAUAAUCUUCUUCUGUGAAACAAUAUGACACUAGAAGAUUUCUUUACUCUUACUGAGAUGAAGAAUGGCCUUUCAACUCUUGCAAGAGUUGAAGAGCUGAUUUCAGUGAUGGAAAGGCAGAAAGAUUGUGUUACGAAUAAUGCAGGCGAUACUGCAAGACAAUGGUCAACUGUUACGGCACCUUAGCAGCCACAGAAAACAAGGACUGUCUUAAACAUUUUGUUGAGUUAAAUGGACUCUUCUUUCUCAAUCAUUGGCUUCAAGAAGCUUUGAAGUGUAGUAAUGAUGUCAGUAGCAGUACAAUGGAAGAAGUAAUAAAUUCAAUACUUGGAUCCCUUGAGAGGCUUCCACAUGACAAGGAAAAGUCAACUGCUUAUGGAAUUUGGGUCACUGUUGAACAAUUGCUAGGUCAAAAUAACCCUAGCAUAAGGGAAAGGGUGAAGAAUUUGCUCGAUAAAUGGAACAAUAGAAGGGUGGACGAUGUUAGUAACCAGGAUAUGGAGAAUGGCGGGACAUGCCAAGAUAACCAGCACAAGCCUUCAGCUGAUGCAAACACAGUUGAUGUUGUACACUCACUGCAGCCAGUUGACAUUUCUUCACACAAUGUAUUGCCUCAGGAGGGGAAUUGCACGGUAGGCUUUGCUGGGACUGAGUCUCACCACCCAAAUUCUACAAAAUGCUCUGACAGUCCCCAAUUGGAUACAAUCAAUGAUGUAACAAUUUCUGCGCCAAAUCAGACCAUGCCAACUGAGUCUCCAAAUUCAGCAAAUGCAAAUGCAAAUGAAGAAGAGAUUAAUUCACUGGGCUCCUCCCAUGUGUCAAAUUCUUUUCAGGAAAACUUUGCUAUUACAGAAGAGUCUUCUGUCACAGUAGUGGAAAUGGCCUCUGCUCGCUUAUGCAGAUCUACUGGUGGGGGCGGAAAUGAUGCUGAUAAAGAUUCUGAAGCUUCAGAAUUAAAUGAUGUUGAUGGUGCAAAAGAGAUGGAGUUGGAGGUAGAGGUGAAUAUAACGGAAGGUGGCCUAUGCAAAGCUAGUCAAAAAGAAAGUUGUAAUGCUUCGUCAUCUUCUGGUGUAUCUGUGUCUGUACCUGCACAGAUGAAAUCCACUGUAUCAUGUGAUUUUGAUUCGCGGGAGAGCAAAAGUUGUAUGUCAAAGAAUUCAGAGCCUCAGCCAAUGAUUAAGGGUGCUGAUUGCGGGUUGCCAAAGUAUCUAAGUACCACAAAGGAGCUCAAUUGUGUUGCUCGUGUUGCCAAGGGUUCUCAAGAUUUGCCCAGCAGUGCAUGCAACCAAAGUAAAAUAGAUGGUCCUGAGAAUUCUAUCCAAAGAAAAGAAGAUGUGGGAAGUGAUAGCAGCAUUAAAGGGCAUUGCAGUGAGGGAAAGCUGAAGGUGAGCGAGGGAGUUAACCUUGGGAUCCUGAGUAGUUCUUCAAAAACAGUGAGCAUGAAGGUUACGGAUAAGAUGGACAGGUCGGAAAUGGAACUUGACUGCAGGGAGAUUGAUGCAUUGGAAGUCGCACGGCAAGUUGCUCUUGAAGUGGAACGUGAAGUUGUUGACUACAGAGAGCCAUUCUGUAGCUCUUCUCCUGAUAUUGAUUCAGGGGGGAGAGUGGAAACCUGUAGCCCUGAUUUGGCAGAAGGCAAACUGGAUCAGCCAGUGAUGGAAGAACUAAAUGGGAACAAGUCACCGACUGGGAAAGAUCUUUCUGAUAUUGCCUCUUCUCCCAAGGAUGAUAAUCCAAGAAUUCCAGUGCAAAGUGGCAUUGAUACUGAGAGACAUGAGCAAGUUUUCAAACCUGAGCUGACUUCAGUUGCUCGAGAAAAAGAACGUAAGCUUGACAAGAAUGUAUGGGACUUUGAUCUGAAUGAAGAUGUCUGCAAUGAGGAUGAUCACUCAACUAACUCCAUGCAUAACAAUCAAGUCAACCUGUCUGCGCCCAAAGCUAUUGUUGCUGCUUCAAAAGGAGCUCCAGAAUUUUCAAUUAGCCCACUUCGCUUUGAAGGUGAACUGGGUUGGAAGGGUUCUGCUGCCAGGAGUGCUUUUCGCCCAGCAUCUCCUCGAAAAACUCCAGAUGCUGAGAAGACAAAUUUGGGUCCACAAAACAAAACGAACUUCCUUGAAAUAGACUUGAAUGUGGCCGAGAGUGAGGAUAAUGUGGCUGAUGAACAAACAUCUGUAAGACAGAUACCUUGUUCCCUUGGCUUUCCUUCUGGGGAAUCUUCUAUGGAGGUUAGUUCAAGAAGAGCAGAGAGGCUGAAGCUGGAUCUUAAUCGCCUUGGAGAUGAGGAUACGUCACCGCAUCCAUCAUCAUUUUGGAAACUUCAUCACCAGAACGGAGAUCAGUGCCUGUCCACUGCUUCAUCAUCCUCAAGGCAUCCUUCGAUGAGAGAUUUUGACUUAAAUGAUCACCCAUCUUUAUUUGACAUUGGCGGUUCUCAUAACCUGAAUAAGUCAUCUUCCAAGGCCUCAGGCAUGUCUGGAAGCUCCGAACUUGAUGAUCCUGUUGUUGCAAUUAUGGGAUCGAGGGUGGCUGUGGAAAAGAAGGAUUAUGGGAACCAAACUCGGCAGUCAUAUUUGGGGAAUGGACCAAGUUUAGAGCCUGCUGUCUCUGCCCGACAGGUGCAGCCUUAUGCUCACAUGUGGCCGCCUGCUUAUGUAUAUAAUGGGCAUGCCACCGGUCUUGCCAUGCCUUACCCUCCAGCACAAUAUGGACCUGGGAGCAUCCCGUACAUGGUAGAUUCAAGAGGGGCCCCUGUUGUGCCACAGAUACUAGGCUCGGCAGGACUGAGUGGUGCACGCACUGCCGUGCCCCCUUUUCUUAUGAGUGUGGCUGGUGCACCUGUGAGUGUGAACAGGAUUGGUUCUUUGCCAUCAGGUUUGGAUUUGAAUUCCGGCAUGACAUUUAUGGACAGCGGAAACAGGGAGCCAGGGGGUUUUAGGCAGGUUAUGCAUGGACACAAUGGUUUAAUGGAAGAGCAGACUUGGACUGCCUCACAGCUUGCAAGUUCCCAGACGACACUGAAGCGCAAGGAUCCAGACUCUGGAUGGGAUCCUCGAAGUUUGUGCUACAAACAAGUGACAUCUUGGCCGUAACAUUCUCUCAGGCUAACGGUUUUGUUUUGUGUUUUCUUUAUAAUUUUAUCUUUCAAGGUUUCUUCGUCGUGGGAGGGGUGCCUUGCGUGAUCGGAGAGUUGUUCACAAGAUUGGUUCGGUGAAAGAUGAAUCGACCGAUUGACAUGUGGGAGUGGCUUCAGAAAAGGUAAAUUGAAUAAUGUUGGUUAUACUUAGCUCAGGAAAUUUAAUUUCUGGAAAAAAUGUUAGGUAUUUUUGUUUCAUAUUGGUUUUCUCUCUUCUUUUUUUUAAAUUUUUAUUGCUUUGUGAAGGCAGUCUCAUCUAGUGGAAUCUGGGAUCAUGCAUCUGUACAUUCCUCAUAAUUAUUUUAACAUAUUGAAAGAAUUUGGGUUCUACCUGAAAGGCUUUAGUUCUGGUUAUCUGUGCCAGUAUAGUGAAAUAUUUGCUGUAUUUAUUUUAAUUAUAAAAAGCCAUGCGAGAGUCUCCCCGUCUCAUUGGGUAUUGGUGCAAUUUCCUAAAAUUUUGUUCAUUUCCGUCAACUGCUGAGGUCAAACUUCAUUUUUAAGGUAGUUGAUUUGUUGUUGUGCGAUUGUCGGUAGUGGAGAAAGUAUUCUUCACGGCUGGAUGAUGUUCGAACUGAACAUUAUAACAAUUCGAUUAUGUGUUGGGUAAUCGCCUUUCCUGGAUUUCAUUAAUAAAAGAAUAAUAUAUGGGUAACUCUAUGCUGAGUUGGAAAGUGCUAAAGUGAUGCAGCAAUUUUUUUAAGAGAAAAGUUACAUAAUCUGUUGUUAACCUUCUUAUUUCUCCGUUGACCGUCAGUUAGUACAUGAUGCCGGUUGUCUACGUUAUUUUGUGUUAAUGAGCUGCCAUGAGAGAGUUAGACAAUUGUGCAACUCUUUCGUGUGAUAUUUUGUUGCCGCAUGCUGCAAUCUUAAAAACUGCCGGUUGCUCUCAACCAAGAGGGGUUCAACUAGUCUCAAUGGAGCUAGGGUAAAAGUAGAUAGGAUAAUAUCCAUAUUCAUAUCUAUUAAAGAAAAUUGAUAUGGAUUUGGAUAGAUAGCGAUUUGAACUAUAUCCAAAUAUCUAAUUUUAUUUGAAAUCUUAUUUAAUUUUAUAUAGUAUUUAUAAAUUUUUAACCAAAAUAUAUAAUUAUACGAAUAUGUUAUUAAUUUGAUUUAUGAUGCAUUUAGUAAUAAUUUUAAUUUUAUAGUUGUACAUUAAUUAUUUAAUUUAUAUUCAUAUUUAUGUCAAUAAUUUCAGUAUUUCAUUUCUAUCCGUAUCCGUUUAAAUUAAAUAUAUUAAUAUAAAUUUUUUGCAUUGUAUCCAUAUUCGUGCUUGCAUUUGUUAAAUAAAAUAAAUAUGGAUAUGGACAUACUGAUAUUUGAUCCGUAUUCGAUAUGAUUUUAGCUCUAGGUGGAGCUAAAAAAAACCUUAGUCUGCGUCUGUCUCCUUGCUUAUAAUGGCCUGGUGACCUUUCCAUAUAAAUUGCUUGCCGGAUGGAAUGAUCACAGAUUAGGCCACUCUUCAUUGAUGGUCUGAAACAUGCCUCGAUGCCAAGGCCGAAGUAGAUGGCCGGAAAGUCCCAAGCUUGAGCCUGAUGUCAGCAGGCCCAACCGAACUGAAGCAUUAAAGCCUUUAGGCUUAGAUAUGGCCCGACCCAAGAAAUCCUUGGUGCUUAUUCCCCUUUCCUUGAUUGCCAAAAACUGGAGGAUGACCCCGACCUCCCUAACCGUCGAUCAUUCUUGCGUGCGUGUGUGCGUGUAAAAGCGGUGAAAAGAGUAAAAGCGGCAAAGGCACGGAGGGUGAGAGUGAUGACCGUAGUCACGAGGGACGAGGUGACGGGAUUUAAGGGGCUCGAGCGAGGACUCUUGCUUCAGCUAUGCCUGUCCGCUUCCUCAAUUCACAUCAUCUAGUGUCGCUGCUUAAUGACGUGUUUGCAAAAUUUAGAUAUAUGCCAAUUUUUUUCCUUAGCUGUUUUUUGUUCUCAAUUAUGAAUUGAUGUGCUGUGCUAAUUAGUCAGUCAAACUUUGAGUUGUCCUAGAUCUUGGAGCAAUGAUGCUAGGAUGUUGUGAAUUGAGGAAGCGGACACAGACAGCUGAAGCAACCAUGAUUCAUUUUAAUCAUACGAGAAUUAUAGACGCGAGGUUCUUGUUUACUCAUUUCCAAUUAUCCACCUUGUAGAGUAGCAUGGUACUCUGUUGUAGACCAAACGUGCCGGUCUAGGAUCCGAAACAAAUACCAAUUAAAUCAAGCAAAGAAUGGUGAAAGAAAAUUUUGGAAAGAGAAAUAAAUUACUCAAAAAAAAGGAGGACUAAAAUAAUGGUUUUGCUCUAUUCCACAAAGAUGUUUCUUCAAAACUUUUCUAGCUCUAUUAAUGUAACUCUCUCCUCUCUUAAUAAAACUACACUCUAUCUCCUACUUAAACAUAAAAAUAUCAAUAUCUUCUACUAAAGAAUGAAAACAUCACUAAUUCACUUCAAGUUUAAAAAAACAAAAUUAGAUAUAUUGAGCUUAAGCUUCAACUUAAUUUAACGUAGAUUUGAAUCCUAACAAGACUAAGAUUUGGUAAUGAAUCUCAACCCUCUCUCAUUGGAAAGUCCAUGCCCAUAAUAUUGGACUUGUUGAAAUUGUGAAACAUCAUAUCAAACAUUGCCAAUAUUGUCAUAGUAACAACAAUAUAUAAUAACUUAUUGAACCAACAAUUAAAUAGUAAAACUUCUUUGUUGGCCUAAACUACAAUAUCUUCACUUGCUCAUCCUUUUCGAUGCCUAUUUUGGAGUGGAUGAUAUCCUCUAAUAUUUAUUUUCAACGCCGACUCCAUUAUUAAUAUGCGAAGGUUUCAUAAAAUAUUUAGCUUAUAUUAACAAAUACCAAGUUGCUGGCUACAAUCAUUAAAGCUCCAUAAAAUAUUCCGAACAAAUAAAAUAAAAAUAGUAAAAAAAAUUGGAGAAAAUAAUGAAUUACAAAAAAAUUAAAAUAAUAAUUUUACUCCCUUUGCCCACGAUAAAUGAAAACCUCGAUCCAUCUGGCUGAAAUAUUGACAGUGAAUACAUAUUUGUGAGAGCAGGAGACCAAGUCAAAAAAGAGUUAAUGCGCUUCCUGGUAGCAACAGGUUGAUGCGGACGCCCGAUCCCCUCGUCAAACGAUCCACCGACGAGGUCUCGGCGUGACCUCCGCCGCUAAGCGACGCCGGGUAGGUGGCUGUCGCCGGUCCCCCCUCGCAAAGAAUAAUAAAUGUUUCCAGGGCUGCGACGCGGAUGGAGGGUCUCAGUCCAUAAGGCUUCCUUGGAACCGUCCCCGUAUUUCGGCGCAAACGACACCGAAGGCUAUCCAUGCUGACGAAGUGACGCUGGACUUGGACUCGGAGUCGGGACCCAAAUCCUAUUGGCCAUAUCAUUAAGCCUCUCACAUGGAAUUUAAGUGCUAAAGAAAAAGGCAGAUGCCGGCAAAUCUUUUGGGUCGUUAGUGGUCAUUGAGGUCAUUUUUUGGGCCCACAAUCCAAAUCUAGGUGCGAUACUGCCCACUGAACUUAAGGGACUUUUAGCUAUGGAUUCUUGGGUUUGUCGGGUGGACAUCCUUCUCCUUGGCACGUGUUGGAAGUGAGGUCCUAUAUUGGAAUGGGGAUGGUAGCACUUUAAUCAUGUUUUAAAAAUAAAAAAUAAAUCAUAAAAGAGAACUUUUAGAUAAUGAGAUCUAGCUUUUCUCUUACUAUAUGUAAUUAAAAUUCCAAAUGAUCGUUAAUUAUUCGAUGCUCUCCGCUCCGCGCAAAAGACUCGAAAGAUAAAAAGAACAAAAAAAAGAGUAGUUAUUAAGAAAGACAUGAAAAGAGGGAGUGUCUGUUGAUUUUAUUUCCUAUGGUAUGUUUUCCCCCUCUGUCUUCAAGGUCUCCCACAUGCUUCUUAUCUGCCAUUUAUGGGUGCAAGUUUAUGCAGAGGUUAAUAAGAUUGCUGACCUAGUGGUAGCUUUUGUAACAUCUCAUGCAAGAAUUAUGCUUGGAAGUUGGAAGGCAAUGAGCCUGAGGGUCAUCAUUACCUUGAUGUUAUUGCACUUCUCACUGGGGUAUGGUUAGGUAUGCCACAAACUAAAAAUUUAGUUUUCACUUUUGACCUGUGGGCAGGAGACAGCAAAUUCUGAGACUUGUGAUCGCCAUUAUAGGUUCAACAAUGCAUGGGCAAAUUAUCACGAGUGCAGUUUUUUACAUGUCAUUCGGUGGUAGCCUAAAGAAAAUGAGAACAAAGAAAGCUGUGCCAAGUAUUUAUAUCAGAUUGCGUUUAAUUUUUAAAAUCAUUUUAUGUCCAGAUAGAAUGACCGAAUAAUUCUGUUUUGGUUGAUAUUUCCAAUUAAGAUAUGCUGCACUGCAAAGAAAGACCGAGAGCGAAAAUUAGCCCUGACCUCCCUCAAGCAUUUUGUGCAAGUGGCUUCAUUGGACUUCCCCUGUUUUCUUAUGGCCAUAUAACUGAGAGUGGUCCAAGUUAUAUUUUGGCGUUAGAAUACAUCUAGGAUUGAAAUGAUGAUCUUAUGGUCAAAUUUGAGUUCUCUCACGAAAAAAACAGAAAAAAAAACAGGUGGGUUUCCAAUAUUGAUGAUUGAUAUUAGCAUUAGAAAAAGAGGAGGCAGAGGGUAGCAAGUGAUUGAUUAUCUUAUCACCUAAAAGAAAAGAUGACACAUGAUACAAUGUAAAUACUAAGUGUACAAAUGACCGAUAUUAAUUAAAUCGUUAAAAGGCACAUUGGAUAUUGGUGGUGGGGUCAUAGUUUCUUCCACUCAAGAAUAUUUUGUGUAACUUCAAUGUUUUAUGAUAUUAUCACACGAUAUUCCCUUGUAAAAGUAGACAAUCUUACAAUCUGAUGUUAAAGAACAAGCAUUUGCAUUGUUUUUUGGUAGAAUGUUUCAUUUGGAGCGCAUACAACUAAAACCUUAAAGACAGGAAGUUCAGAAUCUUGCAGCAAGACUUAAAUCUGCUUCAUGUCCCUAUCUCUGCUCGCUCCCCUCUCCAAACCAACAAUGAAUCGAACCAAAGAACCGUGAUCGAACCCAAAAGCAGGGGGCUGUGCAAAACGGGAUAAUACUUCAUUCCUCCUAUUACAUGACAAAACCUGUCAAACCAAAUGACACACAAGAUAAAUAUUACACACCAGAAUUAAAACAUCAAAACUCAAUAGUGCCGAGUGCGAGAGCCCAUACUAUGUGAUACUAAACAUGCAACCAGCCCCUACCCACAUUUAGGCGUAGCCCUCGCCCCACCACGUGAGCAAAGGAGAAAAAGGACACGACCCCUAAUAAUUUACACUGUACCCCACUCUAUCUUCCUUGCAGGCCCCCUUUUUCUUUUUCCUACUCACCUUUCUCGCACCCUUUUCUGCUGUCCUCGAGAGAAGACCUGGAUCGGCCCGGGCCGGGCCGGACCUGAUACGGUUUAAUAUCCAACCCGGCCGGUCUCCUCACCAACCGACCGUAUUGCGUCCUCAUAAGGGCUGGAUCCGCGAGACCACGAUAGGACUCCGGACCUCGUGCGUCCCAUCCGACCAUGUCAGGUACCCGUGCCCCAGCCCUCCGUCCGCCCCGUUACCCUCCCCAGUCGCCGUCACCGUCACAGCGAAGCUCCGUUUCUUCGCCCCCGCCGUGAACGCUAGCUUCCCCGGCCUCACCGUCACCGCCACUCCCUUCCCGACCACAUCAACCUUCGCUUUGUACACCGCCUCCGCCUUCGCCCCCACGUUCGUCACCGUCCGCAGCACCGUCUUGCGCUGGGCGCGGCCGCCUGCCGCCGCCGUUCCGUCGAAGGCCACCGAGAUCGAGGGGUAGUUCAGGUUCUCCGCCGCCGGCCGCUUCGCCGGGCAGCUCGCCGGCGCGUGGGUGAUCACCUGGAUCGCCUUCGGACCGUACCCCAGGGCGCAGAGGAAGGCUACGUAGUCCUGGUCCCCGAGGUCGUACACCAGACCGGGGUCCAUGGCCCGGUCCAGGUUCAGGUGCCCGGCCCCGAAGUCCAGCGGCGUCGCGGCCCCACCGGUCGACUCGUCGGUGAUCGGCUGGGGCCGGUUGUCGAUGAGGUUCGCCGUGGUCAUCAUGGCCGAUCGGAUCGCCGCCGGGCUCCACCCCGGGUGAGCCGAUUUGAGGAGCGCCGCCGCGCCGCUCACGUGGGGACACGCCAUGGAGGUCCCGGAGAGGAUGUUGAACUCCGUCUUCCGGCCGUCAGAGUCCAGCCCCGUCGGCCCCACGGCGUCGGUCCAGGCGGCGAGGAUGUUGACCCCCGGGGCGAUGAGGUCCGGCUUCAGGAACUCCGGGCUGAGGCCGUUGGGUCCGCGGCCGGAGAAGGAGGCCACCACGGGGGCAGGCUUGACGCCGACCACCGUCCCCUCGAAGGCCAUGGUGGCCGUGGGAUUGGCGGCGGAGGAGACGUAGGCCUUGAUGGCGUCGCCCUCGUCCGAGCCGACGGAGCAGGCGGGCAGCACGUGGGCGUCGCCGACGAGGCCCUCGCCGUUGGAGUUACCGUUGGCGAGGAUCAUCGCGGCGCCGCCGGCCUCCUUGACGACCAUUCCCUUGGCCACGCGGGGGCUGCUGCCGCGGUCGCAGAUCACGAUCUUGCCCUUCACUAGCUUGGGAUCCAGAGAGUUUUCCAUGCAGAGGGAGGCAGAGAGGCCGCCGGACUGGCCCGGGUACACCAGGGGAAGCAUCGUGCCCGCGAGGGGCUUGCCGGAGUAGAGGGAGACCCCCGCGAGGCGGCGUCCAUCGCCGAGGACGACCUUGGCAGGGAAGCUCCGGUCGAUAGUGCCGGCACCGACGGUGGUGAGCCAGGGGGCGAGGUUGGUGACGGACAUGGGGCUGGGGCCGUCGUUGCCGGCGGAGGAGGAAACGAAAACCCCUUUAGAGACGGCGCCGUAGGAUCCGACGGCAAUCGGGUCGAGGUAGUAGGGGGCGGCGACGCCGUCCCCACUGCCGAUGGAGACGGAGAUGACGUCGACGCCGUCGGCGACGGCGCGGUCGAAGCCAGCGAGGAUGUCGGAGUCGAGGCAGCCGGCGCUCUUCCAGCAGACCUUGUAGACGGCGAUGCGGGCCUUGGGGGCGACGCCCUUGGCGAUGCCGGCGGCGUAGUUGGCCAUGCUGGCGUGGAAGACGUGGCGGCCAGCGGCAGUGGAGGCGGUGUGGGUGCCAUGGCCGUCGGCGUCGCGGGGGGAGCGGAACUCGACGGUGUCGUUGAUGCCGGCGCCGCCGAGGGCGGCGUUCGAGUCGUGGCCUUGGGAGAAGUAGCGGGCGCCGAUGAGCUUGUGGUUGCAGAGGGAGGCGGGGAAGCCAGGGCCAGUCUCGCAGGCGCCGCGCCAGCGGGAGGGGACGGGGCCGAGGUUGCGGUCGGAGAAGCUCCGGCGCUCGGGCCAGAUGCCGGUGUCGAGGACGCCAACGAUGACGUCAGAGCCGUAGUCGGAGUCUGACCAGAGGCCGACCUGGGUGCGGAGGCCGAGGAACUGAGGGGAGCGGGUGGUGUGGAGGCGGCGGAGGCGGUCCUCGAAGACGGCGAGGACAGCGGAGUGGCGGGCGAGCUCAGCGGCGCGGUCGGGUUGAAGUGAUGUGGAGAAGCCGUGGAAGACGGUGUCGUAGACGUGGAGGAGGGGGAGGGGCUCGCCGCCGCCGGCGAACGCCGGGGAGGCGUACCAGUGGGAGUGGGUGGGGAAGAUGGACGGCUUGGAGCGGUGGUCCACCCGGAAGAUGUAAAUCUUCUUCCGGGAAGCGGUGGUGACGGCUUUCCCUUCCUUCGCCACCGUUGCUAGGGUUAGGGUUAGAAGGAGGAGGAGGAGAAGGGCGAGAUGUGAUGAAGAAGCCAUGUGAGUGAGAGUGGGAAGUAGCGUCAAGCGUGCAGUGUGCGAUAUUGUCUGUUGAUAAUAUAGACUUUAAGCAGUGGUACCCCAGCAGCAGUGGAAUUAACACACGAAAACUAGAGCUUGGGUGGUGGGUGAGUGAGACUGCCACCAGAUGGUGGGGUNNNNNNNNNNNNNNNNNNNNNNNNNNNNNNNNNNNNNNNNNNNNNNNNNNNNNNNNNNNNNNUUGUUUUGUUUUUGUUUUUUUGUUUUGUUUUUUUUUUGGUCUAAACUGGGUGAUUCAUACAUAGCAGAUAUGAAUACACCCUAUAGAAUUAGAAAACAAAAAGUUCCGAAGUGUUCCGGGCAUCUUUCUCUCCUCGGCCUAUAAGGUACCUCCCGAGUGGCACGCUACAUACGCUGCCGCCCAGUUGGCCGCCCCAUUGACCUCACGAUACACAUGUAUAGCCUGCAAUGUAACACCCUCCCUCGCCAUCAUCCAAAUGUCACGAAGUAGGGGAUGGGCACCACCAUGACUGCUCGGGCCCCUACGGAUCUAGCUGAUCACCGUAGCCAAGUCACCUUCUAUAAGAAUCGAGCUCGCGCGGAGCAUCCGCCGUGCGUAGGACAGACCCAUCUAGACCGCUCGCAGCUCUGCUCUUGGAAUCGAAGUAUGAAAAAGCUGAUAGCCUCUUGCUGCGCAUCAAAAUCCGGGCCUCUAACAACAAAUCUGGCCCCUGCUGCUUUGCUUGUUUUAGGGCACAGAUGUAGGUAAGUUUUUUUUUUCUUUUUUUUUCUUAUCUGUUGUCAGGGAUGAGUCAGCCAUGAUUCUUCGCAGGCCUGAGGGAGGGUGGACAGGGAACAGGUGGGAACCGGGGAAUCCAGCUUCACUUCUUCCUAGUUCUAAUUAAAAAAAGGUAUUAAUUUUGUAUAAAGAAAAAAGAAAAAGGAGGAUACCGAGUGCCUUGAGUCUACAUAAAAAAUACAUAAAUAAGAUUAUGACAGUUAUUUUUGGGUCUAAAGGUUUUCCAACGAACCACGAUCACUCCCGUCGCAUUCGCAUGGAAGGGGACAGAUUUGUACCUCUCGCGCGAAAGAAGGAUUCACCAUGGCAGAAAUGAAGUAGCCCCAAAUGGUUUGAGAUGCGUGCAAAAAAUUAAUCAUUUUUUCCUGCAAAAGAUGCAACCCAAAUCCAUGUGGAAGAUAGAAAUGAUUGUGAUCUUAUAUUCCUCUUCCCUAUUAGAAGUUAUAUCAUUCAUAAUUUGAUAUACAUUUGUUUUUAGAGAUGUUUUCUCCUGUCUCCUUCUUAGACUAGGAACUGAAUUAUGUGAUGGUAUGUUCACUUACCAGGGGAAUAGCUAUAAAGAGGCGAGGAGGUGGGGAUGAGCAAAUGCACGGGAAACCAUAUUUUAGUGGUGAAAUAGGUGUUUCUAGCUCAUGUUUGGAGCGUGCACAAUGUUUAAAUUGUUUCUAGCGCUUUGUUAUGAACAAGCAUCUAAGAGACAACGACAUCAUAUCAUCUUCUUUAAAUUCUUCUCCAAUCGAAUUACCUCUUUGAAAUAGCUAGUUGUUAUUCAAAAUCUUUCGAUCCAAGUCAGUCUUUGGGUUUCUGAUAAUAUAUGAUGAUUUCAUCCAUUGUCUUUAACAACAAGCUUCUUCUCACCUCUUUAAUCUUUCCAUCCCAAGCGCACCUUUGGCUCUUCUUUUCUCGCAAACUGGCGCUACCACUAGAGCCCUAGGCGCCAAAAGUAAGCAUUCAUGUCUGCCAUGCUCGAAAUCUUUUUUCUCCAUCAACCUUCGCUUUCAAAGUUUCACCAUCCAGACUUAUCUAUUGACGUCAUGCAAGGCCUUCCCGUUCAAGUUGGCAUAGAUUUAGGUAGUUGUGUCAGGCUUUUAAGUAUUAUUAUAUCUUUGCUCGUCAAUUGUACGUCCAUAGUUUCGUGAGCACUGAAUUUGGUAUGCUCUUUUGCUAACUAAUUCCACUAAUUGUAUGUUCAUUUAUGUUUCAAAGGCAAAGAAAAGCAAUCACCAUUGCUUGCCCCAGGCCUAUGAGAGCUAGACGGAGAGUAUGUUGAGCACCCAGGACAUAUCCUUUGAUGGAAAAAAAAAACUUUCUUGCAAAAAAAAUACAAUAUUAAAGUUACGAGUAAUAAAUUUGAUUAUCUAUUUUAUUCGCAAUUUCUAUCAUCGAUUUAAGUUUUUUCUUGAUAUAUGAAUUAAGGUUUAUCCUAACGAUCGCACCUCUCUUUGGCAACCAGAGUAUUUGGGUAUAAUUUUUAGAUUUGUUUGUUUAAAAAUCUGAAUGUAAAUAAUUAAAAUAUAAUCUAGUCUCUCUCUCCUUCUCGCUUUACCAAAAAAAAAAAAAAAAUAAUCCCCUGGGCAGCAUAUUUCACGUAGCAUGAUCAAAGGCUGCUGGCCCACCACCUUUCCAAACCCCCUCCCCAAAACAGAACAGUCGUUAUUCACGCCUCCUCCCUGUUCUUUUCUCUUUCGUUUCUCCCAUCAAAAUCAUAUUCUUGGAAAAGGUGGUGUGAGUUUGCAUCCAUUAGCACCAGGAGGUGCAUGAGAGGUGCCGAAGUAUAACCGUGGACCAUUCGUUCCAUUAAGCGGUGUCGCCCUCCCCCGUUGCCAUCAACGAGCUUCGGUUGUGGCUAUCGACGCAGAAAGAACAGCAUUUUACAAUAAAAAUGAGAGCAGUCUCGAUGGAAGAGGCUGGUCUCCAACCGUUCGUACGUCUCUGUCUUUGAAAUUUAUCAGGAAUUCCAUUUCUUCUCUCUCCUUUCCUACAUCAAAGCAAUAGAAAAAUAAUUAUUUUUCUUUACUAAUAUUAACUUCUGCUGCUCCAAAUAGUGGAGAUCUAAAAUAUACAGCAAAUGCAAUAAAUAUCAACCCCAGCAUCUCAUGAUUUCUAAAACUUUACUCGAACUUAAUGCGUUGUUACCACAAUAGUAUUGGAUGUGCCAAGCUGACUUGCCCGAGCAUUUAAUUUUUAUGCUGAAGUUCUACACAAUUUUCUUAGAACGUAAGUUUUUAGAGCUAUCGCUGAAUAGCAGACACUGCAAGAUUCAAAUUUUCUUAAAAUAUCAAAAGUUCUUAAAACAUCCGGUUUCUUUCCCGUUCCCUGUAAUAUGUGCAACGGAACUGUUUAGCUAGAAACGGACAUGCGUUCAAUUCUUGUUUAUGUUGGAUGUAGCUCUAUUGAUAUGCGGUAACACCAUCAACACAAACAGGUAAAAGAUGAAUGGCAUCAUGCACCCAAGGAGCCACACUGGGGGGUGUCUGGGGGUUGUGAGACAUGUAACGGUGAAGCUUCCUUGUAGUUUGACAACCCAAACAUACACGAUGGACAUCCUGAACCUGGCCUCUUUUUUUUUUUUGGUUUUCAAACUCAGAGGAGGAGCAGACACCAGAAAGAGACCAAGCCAGCUCUCUCUGCUGCACUAGGGACUCGACCACAGGCUGCCGGCGACAGCUUCAAUUGACUACCAAUCCUGCAUUUGGCACCUUCAAGCUGCAUGGCUAAUGUAUCUUAUGCAGACAUUUCUGCUCCUAAAAUUUUCGAUAUUUUCCUUUAUAAAGUCCAGCAUUAGCUGAAUUAUGUCAAGGUUUCAUGAUUGUUCAACUAAGGUUUCAUCUUAAGACUUUUGACUUGCUAACAGUUAUAUACAUUUAGAGGCGAAAAAGAACAACUAAUUUGAUGCUAAAAUUCUCGAACAGCAGAAAGAUGACAAACAAGUCUCACAAAUCACAUCCAAGAACACUGUUAUCUGAUGAGAUUCAGCCAUAGUAAAGUAAGGACCUCUUAAGUUAAAGUAGAUAUCUGAAAUUAUGAAAAUGCAGAAGAGCACAGAUGAUAUCUAAGAACAUAAAUUAAUAUGGAUAGGGGCAGGUAAAAGUGACAACAGGCAAAAGUUUCACUUAUUCAUCUUAAACUCCUGAUGUGAAAACUUAAAUGUGCACAGACGAUCCAUUUCAGAUGCCGAAAAAGCAAUACCCUCUUUUCGAAGCCCAGAUUCCUGUGACAACAGGCUAUAAGCAUAAAUGUUUUCAUUAGAAACAUUUUGUCUUUGUUUUAUCUGUUAACUAGAAGGAGAGUUCAUGAAUAGGAAACCUGCUAUAUUGGCCAUAGUUUAAGCUCAUGCUACUAAAGCUAUCAUACUGGUCAUGGUUUAAGCUCAUGCAACUAAACCUACCCUCAAAAUUCCCACAGAUUUGGAAAGAGAUAUUAGAUGAAAGGCCCUGAUACAGAAUAGCGUAGACCACAAAUUAUAAUGUCAAAGAACUUGUAGGAGUCAACAAUAAAAAAAAUAUUAAAGAAAUGAAUCCCUCAUCAGCAAGAAACACAGGUGAAUAACAGGGGCUCAAUGGAUCCCAAACAACUUGAAGACAAAUAAGGACAUUUUCAAGUAGGUACAUAUGGCGACAUUGGCUUUAUGAAGUCAAAAUAAAGAGAAUAGAUUUAUCAUCAUCAAUGGCUAGAUUUCUAGAGACCAAUAUUUAUAGUGACAUGAAAUGCAACUAUCCUUCCUAAUAUAUGGUUUCACCAUUCCAUAUGCAAAUAUGACACGGAUGCAAAUCUUGAUUUCGGUAAACCAUGUGUUUAUGAGAAUAUAUGCAUAUAAUACGAAGCCCGUGGCAGGCAUGCUUCAAAUCCAAAAAUGGACUGAAACCUCAAAUAGAUGAAUAAUGGCUGAAUCACAACAUGAUAUAUACAUAGAUAUAAUAAACUCUGGAGUAUGAUGUUAUAUGAUUUGUCAAACUUUUAAAAUAUAAAACUAAUAUUCUUACAAAUAUGAGCAUCAGCCAACAUAUGAACCAUGGCUAUAAAGCAAUUGUCACAUCUUGUUGAAUUAGUAAGUUCCAGAACUUUACUACUUUCUCCAUUUACACCUGUGAAGAGUUCAGAACUCUUUAAGAAUUUAAAGUUAAAAUUUAUCAUGAAAUAAGCUGCAAAAAAAGUAAAGCAUCAAGAAGUACGCUUAAUGAUGAAUUUAAAGGAAAAAGGGCAGAUAGAAGCUACAAUUUAUACUUGUUAGGCAUGGCCUCAAUUAGUCAAAAGCAACCAAAAACAAGGUUGUCAAAAGUGAAGGGGCCCUGAGGCUACUAGACAGUCCGGACCCCUAUAUUGCUUGAGGUGCUAGGCACCAAAAAGGCACUCACCUUAAAAAAGCAAGGCAGUAAUUCAAGGAAAGUUCAAUAAAUGUAUUAGAAAUAAAUACUAAAUGUAUCUAAAAACAAUAUAAGCAUUAUAAGAUUAAAGUUUCAACGUUAGAUAUAGUGCUUCACACUUCUCAAAACAUCAUAUCGAAAUAAAAGUCAGCAAAAAUAAAUCGUUGGACAUCCUGUAGUAGCUCAAAAUUCAAAUAUGAUAGCAAAAUACAACUUCCUAAAACUUGUUUGAUAUUUUUAAAUAAAAUAUAACUCAAAAAAGUAAAUCAUUAAACAUCCUAAAGUAGCCCUUUAUUUAUAAGAUAUAAGAUUAAAGUUUCAACAUCAAAAAUCAUAAUUUUCUUGUAUGUUAGAUAUAGAGCUUCACAUUUUUCAAAACAUCUUAUCGAAAUAAGGGUCAGCAAAAAUAAAUCAUUGGACAUCCAGUAGUAGCUUCAAAAUUCAAAUAUGAUAGCAAAAUACAACUUCCUAAAACAUGUUUGAUAUUUUUAAAUAAAAUAUAACUCAAAAAAGUAAAUCAUUAAACAUCCUAAAGUACACAAAGGCAAUCAUACCGAACACCAUCUCCAUGCAACCAUUAGCAUGUAUACAAAGGCAAUCACACACGGAAUCACAUCAUGCAGAUCUUAGCUAAUGCUAAAUUAGCAAGAAUUUUGCAUUUAGAAAAUUCCGUGGCCACUAAUAACAUUUUAAACAAAUUACGGAUCCUUAACUAUCAUUUAGCAUAAGAAAUGUGAUUUUUGCUAUUAAUAAUAAGGGGAGCCAAUAAGAAAACAUAGGCAACAAAGAAUUAGGGCUCGUUUGGUUCGCGGGAAGCAUUUUUCCUCCUAGGAAUAUGAUUCCUGGGAAACAAAUUCCUAGGAAGAGGAUGCCUAGGAAAGUACUUUUGGCAUGUUUGGUUGACCAUGGAAAAGUGACAAAUUUUCAAAGUGCUUAUAUUUGGUUGGUCAUCCACUUUUCUAGGAAAGUUAUGUAUAAUUUCUAUUAUACCUUUAAUAAAAAUUAGGUUUCUAAUGCCUCUUUAAUGCUUCUUUAAUGCUGAAGAGACUUUUUGGAAAAAAGUAAAAAUUGAGUGAUUCCCGCCUCAUGAAAAAGUAACUUUCCUAUGUUUCUUAUGGAAAAGACUUUCCCAUGAAAUGUGGGAAUCAUAUUCCCAUGAGAAUACAACUUUUCCUUCUCUCUCCUUUGAAAACUCCAACCAAACAAGAGGCAUCUCAUUACUUUUCCGUUGACCACACUUUCCCCUCUUCUUUUCCCAUGAACCAAACGAGCCCUUAGUUUAUUCCAUUGUGCUUUUGGGAUUGGCCAUUUCAGUGCAAAAUCAGGUUAAAAAGCUAGAUUUGGCUGAGAAUACAAAAAAAAUUUCGUACAAUACCUUACCGAUAUUGUGCUAGUGUGGCACCCGUACGGAGUCUGGUAUCGAGACGACGGACUUUGGUCUUAUUCAUGUAGUGUAGUGAGUAUUAAUAUAGACCCGUAUUGGUUAAUGGGCUCUAUAAUGGGUGGAUCCACUAGCAUUAUACUAAUUAAACUAGGUCUCCAGUCCACUUCUAUAUAUAUCUAUCUGUAGUGAAAUCGUAGAGCAUCCAUGUUUUUAUAUUCCUAAGGGGCAUCUAUCCCAUUGAGGAGACAUGCAUCAAAGAAGAGGAGAGGAAGAUCUACCCCGCUUUUAUGUUUUCUUCUCCCGCAUGAUACUGCUACAACGAUUAUCAAUGCCUUCUUUGGGAUCUCAAGGUACUCCUCAUUUUUUUUUUCUAGUUUAUUUUACAACUUUUUGUAUUCUAAUCUCCUACUUGGUAUCCAUGAAAAAUCACACAGAUAUACCAGUAAUCCAAUUAGGCCUAAUACAUUCACAAUCACAGCCUUAAGAAUCAAAUCUUUUACUGUUUAUCAGUUAAUAAAGCCCAAAUGGAUACUACAAGAAGCCUUUGGUUUUGCAAUGAUCCCUUUGAUCCUUCUCCCAAAUUCCAAUAUGUCAACGAGUCCUUGUUCAAGCUCAAGACCACCAACUCCCCUUGAAUGAUAAAUCGUACCACAACUAAAUAAUAGAUUCAACCUCAACAUCGUCUCAACCUUUCUUUAUCAUGAAAACUAACCCUUUAGUUCAUAACUUUGGCAAGAAUACUAUAUUCCCAUUUCAGAACCCAAACAAAGCCAAUGAUAUAAGAACCACCGGCUCUAAUGUCAAGAACCCUAAAAUCUAUCAUUGAAGAAAUCAAAAAAAGGACCAGUAUUUGAUCUUCGAAACAAAAAAGGCAACGAGCAAAAGGGACGGAUAGAGAAGGAAAGGCUAGCUUACUUGGUUGGUGGACUCGUCAACGGAAUGGACCUCAUCCUCCGGCUCCUCCUCCUUCUCUUCGUCGUCGUCGGGAAGCGAGACGGGGCGCUCUUGAAGGGGAAUUAGACAUCUUGGCGUCGACGGAGGUGGUUCUCCUCCGGGCGUGCUCCUCGGUCACGGACUCCGAGUAGGAGGGGAACUCCCACGGGGACUUCUUCGCCCCUUCCUCGUCCGAGCUCACGUCGUCGAAGUGGAAGUCCAUAACCAUUGGAGCGGGAGGGAAGAAACGCGAGCAUGAUCGCAGGUCGAACGCCAAAAAGAGAACGGAGACGUCGGAGAGGGUUUCUUUGGGGGCUUUAGGGGUUAAAAAUUGACCGUUGGAUUUGGAUGGACAGGGGCGGGGUCAAUGAAUUUGGACCCAUUUCAUCGGAAAAUGGCCCAAAUAUGGACCAAAUUUAUGGACGUUGCGUACUGGCCCAGGUCCAGCAAAAUGGCCUCAAUGCCCACAAGAAUUCAAGCAAAAAAAAAAAAAAAACAGAAAUCUCUAGGAUGAAAUUAUUCUUUUUUUUGAAAAAUAGUUUCAUCUUAGAUCCACAAUGAAUUAGAUCUAUUUUUCCAAAAAUAUAGGUACGAUAGGUCGCCUUCAAACUUAAUCCAUCGCAAGCCAUAAGCUUGGGCUUUGUCCCACUCAGCUGCUUGGAAAUUUAGAUAAAAAGGAUUGCAAUAAAUAUUUUAUAAAAUUUUAUUCAUUUUUUCUAGUCUCUCUAAAUAUGUAUGUAUGCCCCUUACGAGGAAGUAUCCCAUCGAUUUUUUUUUUUUACAUCACUCAUAAUGCUGUGGUCAGGCUUCCAUUAUUUUUUGGGGGGUUGUACCUAAUCAUUGGUGCUUGAUUGUUAUGACAUCAAAGGAGUAAGAAAUAUUGCAGAUGAAUGAGGACUGCAGACAACUAUCCUCCGCUACUAUUUUUGGUCAACAUGAAAUUGUGAGACUCCUUUUUAUCCUUUGCAUUACAUGUUAUUUUUAUCAUUUCUUUUAAUAAAUCAUGUUCAAAAUUUAAAUAAUAAUGUCAUGCUCUCUUCAACUUUGUUGUUUGUGGCAAGUGCUUUUGGCUUCUCUUUCUUCUGUGGUAGAUGGGAUUAGCAAGCCAUCGACAUAUGUUACACAUGCUUGAUUUGGUCACAUGAAUCAGACAUUCCACCAAAUUCUUCUGUUUUUCAAUCACUGACCUCCAUUCUACGUUGGGGGCGUCAGUAAAACACCAAAGAGCUCGCCUAAAUGCUGACCUCGGUCCUCGACAGGCCCAGUCUGGUCUCUGGGCUGGCCUGGGCCUAAGUUUACCAAGAUAUCCGAGCUCUGAUUUCCUCCUUUGACCUGACCCCUCACCAAAACAAGCCUCUGAUUACCUUAUUCUGAAGGGAGAGAACAACCAUGCUUGUCUUUAUUCUUACAUCACAAGGCUACCAACCACUAAAUUAAGUGCAAGGACACAAACUUUUUAAAAGAGCAAAUGGGCGGCCAAGCUUGCCAGCCCCCACGCCUUGGUGAGCAUCUAACGAGUGCUAUCAUAAAGUUUUUUGACACAUAAGUAGACACAUCUAAAUGUAGAUAAAUAAGCAACGAGAGAAGCAGAGUCAGCAAGCAGCAGCAGCAGUGAAGAGCAGUUUUAGCUUCUCAUUUGGCCCUUUCUCUGAUAACAUCAAACCCCAUCUCAGUAGGAUCCGUGGCCUGCACCUCAUAGUGGACUCCCUCCAGCACCCUUCUCAACCCCUGUUUAGAAGUGGCAUAUAGCAUCUUUGCUCUUAUCCUUGAUGCAGUUGGAGACCUAAAGAAGAAGAAGAAGAAGAAGAAGAACCCAAUCCAUCAUCAUUUUGGCUAUUAACAACAACAGUAUGUGAUGGGCCCAAUGGCUCAACCUACUUUGGAGAAAUAAGUUUGUCAGCAGUGUACAUUAAGAAAUGCAGUACCAAAGACAGCAACAAGCAUGAUUGCAACCGCAAACAUAUUGGGUAGGUCUGGCUCACAUCAUGAUCAAAGGCGUCGGCAGGGUGGAUGGAUAAGAUACCUUCUGUUGGAAAAAAAAUAAAAGAAAGAGGAAAAAAAGUGCCAUGGGGGUCUUGUCUUGCAUGGACUGUUUGUGAUAAGGAUUGACGCGUAGUGUGUUUGGCUGCUUUUUAUCAAGACCUUCUCUUUUAAUGCUUUAUUUAUUCACCUUUUUUUUUUUUGAGUAUUGCAUUUCUUCUUUAAUCCCUCUGAACCUUCGGUUAGAGGAGGUGGUGGAAAUGCUUCGGAACCAUACAAUUACUCAUUAUAUUAUCUUUGAGAGCACAUCACAUUAAAUAUGUUGUGAAUAUAUAUCCCACAACUUUAUGUAAUUUUAAUAAAAAACUUUAGAAAUCAUACACCGAAAGCGAGUGUCGUAAUCUAUGAAGGUAAUUGGCGUUCUUCUGAAAACAAUAUUUAUACAUGACAGGAAUUUUGAUGUCCUCUAUCUCAAAGUUUAGGCCAAUCAAGCAACAAGGAAUAUGCUAAGAGUAAGGUAGGGGAUGAUCUAACUUUACCUUUCGGAACCGUGACCACCUAACAUGGGCCACCACCUUCACCGUAAUAUGGACAUCAAAUUGAUAUGUUUGAACAUCUAGAUAGAUAUGGAUGCCGGGCAUAAAGUUUCUAUGCAAUAAAAAUUAUAGCAGGGAAGUUCGGCAUUCAUGGUUUUCCAUUUUUUUCUUCUGGGCAAAGCCUUCGUGAUGGCCUUUAGUACAGGCUAGCUACAGAUUGAAAUGAAAUUAGAAUACAAUACAUACAGGCAGAAAGAGGCCCUAUCAAUUGCCUUUAAUCUUCUUUCAAGUCGCGGUUAUAUUGCAUCUACCUGCAGGCUCAUUAAUUUAAGAACUAUGUCAAUCUUUUUUUUGAUGUAAAAGAACUAUGUCAAUCUUAACUUGUGUGUGUAUAUAUAUAUAUAAAGAAGAUGUCUUUGAUCACCAAAUCUAUAGGACAAACCUUGUGUUUCCUGGACAUUCAUUAUUUUCCUAUCUUAAAAAAUUAACCUCACAGAGAGAGGGGGAGAGAGAGAGAGAGAUAACCAUGUGAUGAAGAAGAUCUUGCUCUUCUGGCAUUUGUCGACUGUGACGAAGUCGAAGUCGAAGACAGCAUAGCGGCAGUCGUCGAUGGGGAGGGAAGCAGCGAGCUCUUCGUAACCCUCGCCAGGACCGCCCACCUUGUCCACCAUCACAGCUCUGGACCCCUCGUCGAUCUUGUACACGACGUAUCGGUGCACCUUCUUCCACUUCAUUUCCAUGAACGACCGCCGGCACUCCUCCUUUACGCUCAUCCCCUCCGUCGCCUGCCAUCCAAUUCCAAGGACACAUCAAAUUAAGCCAUGCAAAGCAGAGCAAACUUCGACGAUUAAAUUCAAUCGAAGAACCCAGAAAAGGAGGAAGAAGAAGAAGAAGAAGGUGGUGCUGGUGAUGUUGACAUCGAGAUUACCAUCUUGAAAGCCAUAGCCAUGGUUGCAGGGGGGUUGUGGAGUUGCUGGCGUGUCCUCUCUUUGCAGGCCUUUGGGAUGUGGAGGCUCGGAAAUAUUUAUAAUAGACCUGAAUUUCAGAGUUGUCCUGGUCCCUCAUCUAAAUUGCAUAGCCUUUUGUUUUUAUCCCCCCAGUAAAAUGGUAUAAUUACACAGCCCUAGAUACAGUCAAUCCAGUCUGCAGCAUUACCCACCUUUCUCUAAAUAUUUGUUAUCGCAUAUAUUAUAUAGAUUGUUUAAACUAAUGAAAGCUUUCUUUAGUUGUGUGGUAGGGAAAAAGGGUACUAGGACAAAUAUGUUUGAUCUCAAUUGGGCCCAUCACUGCUUUAGAUGGUGUGAGCUUCGCUUGUUAUCAAUAAUUUUCUUUUUGGGAGGUGUGGGUUGAUCAAUUAGUGAAAGUUGCUCAAUUUGGAGGCGGGUGGACAGGUUACAUGGACUUCCAAGAUAGGCCUGGUAAAUGGGUCCAUGUGGCAAAUUAUUUUAAUAUACAGAGAAUUCAGAAAAUCAUCAUAUAACAGUACCAUUAUUGGGUCUCAUUGGACACGUCCAAUCAAAUGUUAAAAUAUUUUUUUAAUAUAAUGUAUACUUUUAAGGCUGAAAUAAAGAGAGCCAAAAAAAAAUGGCCAGAGAGAGAGAGAUAGACUAGAAUGAGAUUUAUGGUGGAAUCCUUCAGAAAGCAAUAUCCUAAAGCACAGGAUAAAUAACAAUCCAGUAGUUCUUGUACUCGCAAAAUCUUGGAGAAGGGCUACUUCCCCUCCCUCACGUAAAUGUACAUUGGAAUUCAAACAUUUUAAGGUUCUAGUUUUACUUGACUGGGAUCGAAAUCCCAACUAGAUCUGGAAUCUGAGGCCAGUGCAUGUUUCGUUUCUUAAAUCCUUCUGAAGGUGGAUCGAGUAGAUCAACCAUCCAACGUGGAUUUUGGUCCCAGUCUUCGAUCCAACCGGUAGCCUCGAGUUCCGUUUCGUCCUUUGCUUCAAAGGAAAGACUGCCGAUGAGAUUACACCAAAAGAGAACGCACGAGGAACGUAACUUUUUGACAACUAGUGGCUGCUCCAAUAUACACGUAAAGCAGACAAGGGAUGCGAUGACUAAAAUAAGGGCGAGGCCGUGUGCGAAGAUGGUGGGUGGCAAGAGAGUUUGUACACUGGAUAACUGUUUGAAAGUUCAAGAAAGCUUUUCAGGACAAUAGACAUUCUUUUAUUGGAUCAUGCUGUGGUUCUUCAUCCAGUUUAGUAAUCAAGAUGCAAGUCCAUAUGUGUGUGCGUGGGGAAAAGGUAGCAACCACCGCAGGAAUAUUGUAAAACGAUGGUUCGUAGAAACAUUGUUAUCAUUAUUAAGCUGAGUAUGGAGCAUGUGGGAAAGGGGGAUGCUUUCCCUUUCAUGUCCAAGUACUUUCUCAAAUGCACAAAUUAUAUGAGAUUCGUCAAUAUAAAGUUUCUACAGACAUCCGUCCCAUUCUAAAGCCAUUUCUGAGCAUUUGUCAAUAUGGGCUUGGCUCAUUCCAUAAAUUUCAUAGAAUUUUCAACCUAAUUAUCCAAACAAGCACUAACUCACUAAGACAAUGUUUACAUGAUUCAAUCUUUUUUUGACUAGCUGGUUAAUUUUCUGGUAAAAAUUAUGUACCCAGAAAACUCUAAGUAAACAGGGUCAUGGGGGGUUUAUUUCAUAGUCUAUUUAGAUUUAUUUGCAACAGUUGCUUGACCUUUUAGGGCCAAGGAGAUGGUGGAUGAUGAUCAUAUCCGGCACAGUAGAACAAAGUGACUUCUAUGACUGGCUAUGAACAUUAUAUUUAUCCAAUAAUAUUUAUACUAUUUGUAAAUGCUUAUAAACCUUUUAUAAGUUUUGGAUUUGAUUUAACCAAAAAAAAAUGAAGCCUUAAAUAUUUUACUGAUCGAACCUUUUGAGGUGAUGUCUACUUUAUCGGAGAUAUGUGAUGCAUGUGAGAGGAUGGAAGGGUACAUGCGAUUGGAAGCACGAAAGAUUGCAAUCUCCCAUAUUUCUACAAAACUGCUUCACUAACUGUAACUUGACAAGGGGGCUCUCUCAGCUUUGGCCGACACAGCUUGGGAAAAUGGAGACGCAGAGUUUGACAUUAGCAUUUAUUCCAAAAACUUUUCCUCCCUAGAUGGCAGCUAUAUGUACGAGAGAUCGGACCAUUGAAUCCAAUUUAAAAAAAAAAAAACAAGAUUUCAAUCUUAUUAAAAUUAAUUCUUCUUCCAGGAAACUUAGAGAUCAAGUAACAAACAGAUGGUGCAAUUGCAGGGAGAACCAGUACGACCCAUCGAAGGGACGUCCGAAAACAAAGAGCAAGACGAGGCUUUCAAACAAGGUGAUCGGUAUCUGUCCAUCCUAUAAUGACUGCCAACUGAAGACACGGGCACGGUGGAUGUCAGAAUUAUGGUUAGGUGUUGAUCGAAAGGAAUCAGAGGAUCAGCUUUAGCUUCCUUCCACACAGACUACAAACACUAGAAGCCUAAACGCUGCUGCGGGCAGCAAAAGAGUGGAUGCAAGAGGACGAAGGGACCUAUACGGUCCCGGCUGGUCUUCGUUGUCAUGCAGCGGGCAAGGGAGGACAAACGAAUCUAUGAAUUGGAAAGAAGCCACCCGGCCCCACUUGUCUCCACUGCUACGACUGCUAUCUGUGGCCUCUUCAUCAAUUUUCUGGAUUUAGUCAUUUCCACCUUCAUAUUAACAGUUUCACCAUCUCCAUGAUCUUCCUCACAUUAGUUCCAAAGUUUGGACAUCAGUGGCUCUAUCUCGUGUGUGUCUGUGUAUCACAUAUGGUCCCCUUUCCAACCAAAUUCUAGAUAUAGCUACUGUAUUGUGACUGGAACAUGGGCCAUGAAUCAAAUCAAACAGGCUUCAGGUGUCAUGAGAUCACCACUUGGAAGGAAUCUGCAAAAUAAAUCGUGCUCAUAGGGAGGACAAAAUGUCCCUUCUUUUGGUAGUAGGAUGGGCAGGCCAAUCUAGAUGAGAAAUGAAAUAACAGAAAAAGUAUGAUCAAUGAAAAAAUAGCGAAAUGUGUUAUGUUUGGUAGAAGUUUUCAAAGAAAAAGAUGAAAAAAUAAUUUUUCCAUCGAUUAGAAACUGAUAUAUUUUUUUUCCAAAAAUAUGGAGUAAGAUCUUCCUUUUAUUAGAGGUAUAAUAGGUAUUUACAUAUUUUUUUCAAAAAAAUAGUUGUUCAACCAAAUAUAAAUCACUUUCAUUUUUUUUUCAUGGUUAACUAAAUAUACAAAUCUAUUUUUUGAGGUAUCAUAUACUUCUCAGAAAAAAUAUUUCAACGAAGAAUAAAUUUUUCCACAAACCAAACGAGCCAUUAAAAAUAAGCUGGGAAUAGCCUACUCCUAUUUUAGUUAAUUAAAAUUAUAGUGAUUAUUUAAAAGAUAAAAAUUUAAUAUUGGUAUGCACCUCAUAAAAAUUAGGAAUUUUCUAUGGUGCUUCUUAAAAUCUAUGUAGAAUAAUUUUUCUAAUAUUUUUUCUACCAUUCACUCCGCUUAAUAAUGGAUGAACCCUGAUGUUUCUCAUGGCAACCGGUUAAAGUUGGCGGGAGAGGUGCGGUUGGCAACAAUAAUAAAUUGGACGAAAAGGAGACCAUGAAACCUCUGCGACUCCAGGAAUCAAAUCCAACAAGAUCCCCUUCGCAACUCCAUUUAAUUAGUUGCAAUGGUCAGGAUUGAAAGUUCACAGCAAAUAAAACAUAUACAUGCACCAUAGUAACACCCUAACGCGCUUCGCUAUAUUGGUGGCUGAGAUGCGAAGAUCUGAAGCACACACAGGCUCUCAUCUAAAAACUCCCAAUUCUCGAUUUUGCAGAAGUUUUAUUUUCCAAAUUUUUAGAUCUAAAUUCCCUCUCCUCCUACUUCAGCACGAUAGCAAAGAAAUAUUGGAAGAAAAUUGGGGCUUGCAAGAAGGCGAAUGGCCCUAGAGCUUGCUCCAAACGGACGGUAAUUGGCUCACAGUGGGCCCACUUAAAAGCGACAAUUUCCUGCAGACUAGGACUCGACCAUGAGUCCAUCCUGCCGCGGGCAAGUGAAGAAGCUAAUGCCGACGGUGUCUCAUACCUAUAAGCCUCAACAUAUCUAUUGAAUUCCUAAUCGAUAAAUCCUGUCAUUAAGUCUCACAUGGCAUGAAGCUUUUCACGUCAUGAAUGAUUAUUCUCUGAUUCAUCUAAAGAGCUGCUAGUGCUACAAAUCAACAUCGUUUAAUCAACCUUAACAAAUACCAAUAACUCUUUAACAUAAUUAACAUAAAGAACAGUCUAUGAAAACAAAAUAUUUGCUCCAGUUGAUUAGCCACAGAGAAAAAUGUGUUUUUGUUGGGUCAUAUGAAAUAGCAUGCUUCCUCUAAUCCAUGACCGCAUCCAUUGACUUGUUGCUGCUGGCCAUAAAGAAGUCUGGGUGACCGACCUGCAGCAAAGGAAUGAAUAAACUUGCCAUAUGAGUGCUACAGUUUGAAUAGCUCCUGAAAAAGCUUAAACAUGGAGAAAGCAGGUAGAUGAAUAGUUUGUGAAAAAGCAAAAUGAGUAACAGAAAGAUGUCAGAUCACUAAUGAUUUAUAUAAGUACGAACAGGACUCAAAGAUAGCUGUCAAUACUGAUGGGUUAUCAAGCAGGUAACGUAUGGGAAGAAUUACCUACCCUGUGACUAUCUUUAAUCAUCUAAAUGAAAACUAAAUCAAAGGGAAAUAUUUGGAGCCAAAAGAUUCAACUAAACAAUAGAAUGGCCACCAAAGGAAAACAGAGGGUAGGCAAUGUUUCUAGCGAACAAAAGGAAAAUUGGUACGCUGUGUAUCUCCACAUUUCAGAAACUAGGUCAUAAGAGAAUUAAAUCAUGCCUUGAGAUCAGGCUUAGGCAUCAAAUGUUACCUUGGAGAACAAGCUGGCACGAACAGACUAUAGGAAAUCAUUUACUUAUCCUCCUCAUUUUCUUGCUUAUCUUCAUUUUGCUUUUGCUGGGACUGGAAAAAUGAGCACGAUCAGAAUAUACAAUAAAAUCAGCAUCAGAACUUCAGACUAAAAUGGUUUAAACAAAUAACAUAAUUGAACAUAAUUCAAUUAGUAAUAACCAGCUUUGGCAGGAGCGAAGUAACACAAAACGGCAUGCAAUGACAACUGCGCGAUUCAAGGUGUCUAAUGGUAAAUUCAUUGACAACAUUAAGUUCAGAACAUUUAUUAUGAAAAUAUAUGAUAUAACCAUUAUCCCAAAUUGUGCAGCAAUGAAACAAAAAGAAACAAUUAGAUAUGUAUUAAAUUUCUUAUUUUACUCUUUGAUCAGUUUCACUUGUGACAGUACAGUGUUAAAAAAACUUGAGGCUUGAUCCUUCGAAAGUGUAGUUUAUGGCACUUUGAAGCACAACAGAUUUGCAAGUUGCAUAAAGCAUAUUUUAUGACUUCAACAUACACAAAGUGAGCUUCCUGAAGGAAGUUUUGAACCCUUUAUAAUGACAAUUUUUUUCCUCUGGUUUUUCAGAUCCUCAGAGUGGAUAUAUUGGUAAUAUAUAUGAUUCAUGAUUGGAUUCCCUUUUCUCGACUUUGCAAUUAAAUUGUUGGAAUGAGCUUGAGGAAAUCAGAGCAUAUCUGAUUCUCCAUGCAACAUUUUUCCCAUUUAUAUGAGCCAUCUCUAGUGUAUGUAUGUAAAGCCAUCUCUAGUGUAUGUAUCAAGUAGAACGAGAAGCUAUAUGUAAAGUUUAAUUCAGAUGGUAUCAAAACCUUCAGAAGUGUCAUUUAUGGCACUUUGAAACACAAUAGGAUUGCAAGUAGAAUGGCACUUCGAUUAAGUUUUAAACCAUUUAUGUUACCCUUUUUCGUUCCAGUUUUUUCAGAUCCUCAAAGUCAAUAUAUUGGUAAUAUGAAAGCAUAUAAGAUGCUUGAUUGGAUUCCCCUUUUUUCAACUUUGCAAUUAAGAGUUGGAACGAGCUUAAAGAAAUCAGAGCAUAUCUAAUCCUCUACGCAACAUUGUUUCCAUUUAUAUAAACCCUGUUAAAGCCAUCUAUGAUAGACAUGUCAAGUUUUAAUAUCAAGUAGAAUGUGAAGCUAUAUGUAAAGUUCAAUUCAGAUGGCAUCAAAGACGUAUAGGAUGCAUCAUUUUCAACAUUGUGAUCCAGAUUUUACAGACUUAUAUGCAAUACAUACAUGUAUGGAUAAGCAAAGAGUUGAAAACUAAGAGCACCACACAGGAGCACUUGAUUAUAAGCAUACACUUUAAGCGAAGAAGCAUAACCCAUAAUAUAUGGCUAGCAUGAGGAAAAUAAUUUACUUAUGCAUCAUGAUGCAGCGUCAACAAUAAUUAUGCACUACAAUUAUACAGUAUUUCCACUUGCAUGGACCCAAAUCUGUGGUGAAACAACUAGCAGCAUCCAUAAGAUGGCUUCAUUGAGAAACUUAUGCGGUGUUGACAGAUAAAAUAAGAAAUGGCGUUCCCAAAUUUAAGCUAGUGAAAGUAUAUUAAUGGAUAUUUCAUUGAACAAACUCUAAUUAAAUUCAAUCCCAGUGACAUUAUUAAGAAAGUUAUAGUCAGGCAGUGGAUCCCAUGCCACUAUAUCCAAGUGUUUUCUUUUGAAACCAGCAAAAUUUAUCCACAAACUGAAAGCCAUCAUGAUGAAACACCAUGAACAAGACAAGGGAGUGGAGAACAUCAACACCCUAAGUUUUUUGCAAUUUCAAAUCUAUCUGUUGUAUAAAAUAAUGAACAACGAGGUGAAUAUAUAUACUUUUGCUGAUGGUAGAUCAAGUGGGGAUAUACUUUUGGGCUAUUCAUGGCUGUCAUGUUCUAGGAAUUGUCAAUAGUUGCCACAUUAUUAUGAGGUGGGAAAAUUACAGAACAGUAAGAAGGUCGGCUUAAGUGCUGCCGUAAGGAGCUCUCAGGCAUGUAAGGAGAUAGCAGUAGCAGUCAGCAUGUUGAGGUGAAUGUUUCGGAAAAGUAGAGUUUGACGGACUAUAUACAAAGGAAAUUGUAUAAAAAAUAGAAUUGAUAUUUAUUGAUGAUGGUAUGUCCAAUAAUAUUAAAGAAGCCUAGGUCAGGAAACUGAGUGAAGAGAUCAAAAAAGAAAGGGAGAAUCUAAUGGAGAACUUUUUUUUUGAUGGGAAUUUAAAAAGGUGCUUGUUCGCCCGAUGAUGCCUGUAGGCAGUAGCAGGCGCAUGGUGCAGCGGCCCGUUAUUGUUCCACCAUUGAAAGCGGGCAGUGAUCGUGGCUCUGUGAAGCCAGCCUCACAUGGUCCCGUCAUCUUAAGGAGUGGCACGAUCUACGCUUAAAUCUAAUGGAAACCUGAAUGGCAGUCAAGGUUGUUAACGAAAGAAAUAACAGCGAAUGAAACUUUGAUGCAAAUGAAUUGUGAAGGAUCCACAAUAUCCAAUCCAAAUAGAAACAACAUUGCUUGUUAGUACUGUCAUUGUUAAACGUUGUAAACCAGUUGCCACAUCAAGAAUAGCAUCUAUUAUAUGUUAAUGCUCAUUUACCAAAUCAAGAUACUAGGGUAAAUAACAUAAAACAAUGUGACUUUUUGACACUUGUAUUGCACCUGUAGUAUACUGGAAAUAGAAACAUGUUGAAACAAGCAAAACCAAUGAAAACCAUCUAUAUGAUAAGAAUAUGUUAUUAAAUACGUAUCUUCCUUCAACCACCCCAGAAAAUAUAUAUUCCAAAAAGAUGCAAUUAAUAGUUUAUGUAUCCUAGUAGAACAAGAACAAAUGGCUCAUAAAGACAUACCUCAGAUUGGCCUUGUAAAGAUGCAAGCAAAUCUUUCACAGAAGGGUCAUUAGGAUCGACACCUGGAAGCUGUAAGAGUGAAAUAGUCAUUAUAUGCUGCCGGUAAACCAUAACACUACAGAACUGAGAUUUAACAAUCAUAGAAAUUCAAGUAAAUGCUAUACCGAAUUUAGGAUAGAUGAAACAAAUGACUGGUCCUCCAGAACCUUGCUCAUCUCAGACUGGGUUGGUGAGUCUUUUGCAUUAUCCUGAACAGACAUUUGAAGGGCUGCAAACAGAGCAGUGCAUGCAUCAGAAUCAUAACACUGCAAUUAGAUCUAAAGGAGAUAAAGUUUGUUAAGUAGUAAGGAAGCAAAAAUGUGCAAUUAUGAUAAGGAACCAAGUUUUUAAAUGCAGAACAAAGAUAUCAUAGUAUUAUUCCAAUCAUGGUCAGUGUUGUCAAAGGUGUUGUAGGCCUCCUAGGUACUCAUGCGAGGCAAGGAAGCCCUUGAGUGCCUCAAUAGUCAUGCGACGUGAGUUUGCUAAGUCAAUGCCUAGCCAAGUGCCUAGGACAAAGUGUGAGUGUUGGGCAAGCGCCUCUCCAAUAUCCAGCAGUAUACAUCCUAUCCCUUUUUGGCUCAUUCUUUUAGAAGCUUAUUAGUUUUAUUUUGAGGCUUAUUUUGGUCUAUUGGCAUUUUUAUAAAUAAAUGGCUACUCUACCAUGUUCAAUGAUUUGUAUUUUUUUAAAGUUGUCGUGUUCAUCAAACAUGUUUUAGGAAGUGAUAUUUUGCUACCAUGUUUGAAUUUUGAAGCUACUAAAGAUAUCCAGUGAUUUAUGUUUGCCGACUUUUGAGGGAAGUGGUAUUUUGAUGUGAUACUUUGAAAGUUGUGAAACACGACAUGUAAUGUACAAGACAAUUAUGUUUUUUGAUGUUGAAACUUGAAUAACUAAUCUUUUAAUACCUGUAUAAUCUUCAGAUACAUACGUAGUUAUUUCUAAUACAUUUAUUGAACUUCAAUUAAAUUAGUGCCUCAUGUUUUUCGAGCAAAUGCAUUUUUGUGCCUAGUGCCUCGAGCAAUAUAGGAGCCCUAUCACCUUAAGUGCCCCUUUUUCUAUUCACAACCUUGAUCAUGAUAAUGAGGUAUGACUUGGUCAUUUCUCUAGAUAACUAGUGAAUCUUUACUAGCAAAAGAGGUUAUAUUAUAUGAGUAGCCAUAUAAGGUACAUAAAGGGGUCUCCAUGAACUCCAAAUCAACAAAGGCAACAUGAUUUCCUAUGAAUACAUCAUCUCUAAUCACAUCUUAGUGAGCAAAAAGGAGUCCACCAUCUUGCUUCUUUUCUAAGGCCUUGUUUGGUCACAGAAUUGGGGGAUAUCCCCCCCACUUCCCGCACUUAUUCUACCAAACAACAUUCUUAUUCCCCACUUAUAUCAUCCCAGCUGUUAUCCCUCUUCUCCAUUUAUGUCAUAAGCCAAUUUCAGCCCUAGGCUUAGAUAGGCUUAUUCUGCAGGACUAGGAUCCAUCCAAUUACCAUAUUACCACUCGAAUUAUUCUUUUGCCCCUAUUUACUCUCUAAAUAUACAACAAAGUGGGAGGGCAAUUUUUGUCCUUGCGAUAAAAUCCAAGUCAUCAUGAAAUACGAUGCACAUUAUAUGCACUUUAUUCCCUGCACUUAUUUCCUCCACUUAUCCCUCCAACCAGCCGCUAAAAAGCUCCUAUCCUCAGAAUAAGUCCGUCCCAUGAACAGUACCCAGAUAACUUUUUCUCAUUCCCCCAAAAUUUAUUCCACAACCAAAUGCUAUCUAACGGUAUGAACCAAUGUGAUUUCACGAUGGUAUGGAUAGGCGCCAGACUAUACAUGGGCCAAAAAUGCUUAAGCAAGCAUAGAGUAGACUGCUAUUCACAUAUAUGAUGCACAAAGACAGAUGUAUGCAUGCAAAUGUGUAUAUGUGUAUACGUAUCUUUCAUCUUUGAGGUGUAACAGACUGGACUUCAAAGAGAUAUGAUAUUGUACUACAAAAGAAUAGAAUAAGUUAAAUUAAAGUAUCAAACAAGUGACUCCAAGAGGUCUUUACUCAAAUAUGUAAACCAAGUUCCACCCUCGAACAAGUUGCGAACUAAGUAACCUCCUCAUCAAUCUCUACAAUUUGGGCUAAGACUACAAUGAGAAAUGAAGCUACUAUUAGACCUGUCACAGCAUUUAACUUUAGACAGUCAUAAUGAACUUUUAGUGAAAGAUUUUUUCCAAAUAAAUAUAAUACAAAUACCUGAAGCUGAUAUCAGAGCAUAUAAUAUAUUAUUAACUGAAAUUCUGGCUUAUCUAAAGUUAAAGAGAAAGUUUCCAUUACAUGAUUUGACCAGCACAUUAAUUUCAGUGGCUUAAUCUAAAGUUAAAGGGAAAAUUAACUUUGAAUUUAAUUAGUUUGCUGCUUCUUACAAGGAAAAAAAGGGGGGCUAUUCAGUUAAAAUGUUCAGGCAUUCAGAUAAACAAGUGAUAAUAGCAUUCCUGUCAUAGAUUAUGAGAUUUUUUUAGCAUUUAGAUUUUUUAGGUAACUUAAAUAAAGAAUGUUCAACAAAAGCAAGAAAACAUAUGCCUAAUCUUGCUGUUCAUAAAUGAAUUGUUAGAGCAACAACAAAACAAACCAAGUGCUAAUUCAUGGUCAUCUGCGGUAGCCUCUGACAUAUCAGUAUCUGCCACAGCCACAUUAGUGGACUUAGGGUCAUCCAUCGACAUUGCAAGAGCCUGCUCUAGCAAGGCAGCCUCAUCAUCCUGUUACCACAAGAAGUACAUUUGAUAUCUACAGUUGCUAGAAUUGUUAGUGGAAUAAUAUAAUAAUUAUAAAAAAUAAAUAUACUACACAGAGAAUCAUGCUUGCAUAUAUUAAAAUACUGAUGAAAGCAAAUUUUGGUUUAAAUUCAUCAAUAAUCCAUGAUAACAUAUAAGUAUGCAUAUACAGCCCGUAAAGGAGAACUACAACAUCAUAUGUCAGUGCUCCUGACACAUUUAAUCCAUUUAACACUAUUAAUUCUGUAUAACAAGCAUUAUAUUUCACAAUGGAACAACAUCUACAUAUGGCCCCUUGAAUAAUCGACAUCUUGAAUAAACACUCAUAUUGAGUGUUCUUGGAGAUUCAGCUUCCCGACAGAUGAACUUCUAAAGGAUGUUCUCUUGUAAUGUGCACUCAUGACUCUUAAGGUUCAGGGACGGAAUAAUCUGGAGCAACCCGACAGAGCACCUUCUUACUAAACGUUUGGACAGACAAUGCCAAUUCAGGUGCUUCCUCUAAAAUAAGACCACUUCUUUUGUUAUCUUAGAACAAUGUAAAACAGUCGAUAUCUAAAAAAGAUUCUCAGCAUUGCUUUUGCUUCGUGUGUAGGGUACUGAAAGAAUAAAAAGUUUAUAAGCUACUUUUCUUUUCAUUUUAAUCAAUAUUACGCAACAAUAUUCAGAACCAAAUAGUACACCUAUGAUCCAAGAUUGCAUAACAAGAGCAAUACCAACCACAAAAGAUACCAUAAAAAGGGAGCCUUGUUCAAACUAGUUGUCCUCAGAUUUACAAAUCCUCAUUUACCAUGCAUUCCUAUUGAAUGCUUUUCCCAAUGUUAUUUCAAGGUUUUCAGUAUCCUUUCUUGUAACUUCCAUCCAUAUUAUUUUAAGUCUUCCCCUCAUCCUAAGUUUUUUAAAAUGAUUAAUGUACCCACUCCUUACUGGAGCUUCCUCAUAUCCUUGUUCUACAUUCCGUGCCACAUAAAUCAAUAAUCCAUCACUUUGUCCUUAAUUUGCACACUUCUUAUAGAUCCUUCAACAUACUCAUUUCUCACUUAGUCCUCAAUUUGGACAAGUCCUAUAGCUUCUUUAAAGUGAACUAGAAUAAAGGACUUCAAGUGGAGCUUUUGUGUUGAGAAGUGGGAAUUGAAAUGUAUGUUUUGAACAGUUUGUAAUAUAGGUCGGUGCAAGAACAAGCUAUGAAGGCCAAUUUUGGGUCAGAAAUGUAAUAUGAAGGUUGAAAGAGGGAAAAAAAAAGAUAAAGGUAAAUGAUUAUAAACUAGGGUCUUUGAGAGGUCACAAUGUGUUAAGAUAAAAGAUGAAGGGGAGAAGUUCAAUACAAAUAAGAAAUUAUAAAGACAAGUGCCAAUUUAGCCAGGCACCGCAUAUAGUGUUGAAGGAGCUGCAUCUUCAAAACAUACUUGCAAAGUUAGACCUUCAAUAACUAUAUGAUAUUACUCAAAAUUUUCAGCUGGUAAUAAUUAAUGAGUACCCUAAGGUACAUUCUAAUGGACCACUUGCAAAUUUAGAAGUACAAGAUAUAAAGAAAGAGAAAGUCCACUCCCCCAAGGAUACGAGAAAAACUUCAAACAUAAAUACCCUUUCACAAGGAUGACAUAAAAGAGAAUGAAGGAAAAAAAAUAAAUACAUUGCAGGACUUAAAUACCAAAGAAUCCUCUAGACCUUCUAAACUAAAUUCUAAUAACUAAUUCAAAACUUAUAUUUAAGUCGAUUUAUUUUAGAUACUAAUUCUACUUUAUAUAGGUUUUCUAAAUCCAAAAAUUACAAUAAAGUCAAAAUAAAAUUUUGAAUACUUCUUCAACUCAAACUUAAAAGGUAAAACCAGCGAAAUCAAAACAAUACUAAUGCAUCUACAAUACCCACAACCAAUUAGUAAUAAUACUAGUAAAUGUUUUUACAUCAUCAACAUGGGCCACCUUAUAAUUUGCCUCUACCAUGAAUGAUCAAAUUCCCUUCUUUCUUAUCGCAUUAUACGGGUCAUCAAUUAAUUGUUUGCUGAUCCACGUAACAAGCACUCCAUGAAGAAUCAACACUUCCACCAAUUGUCUCUCAUUCUCCCUCCUUUUAAUCCCAUGGGAUAUUUAAAGCUAAAAUCACUCACAUGCAAGGUUGGCACUACCAAUACUAGGACCGUACAACAAAACAUGGUAUGUACGCUCCAUUGUGCUAAUCAAGCACCAAUACACCCUUUUCUCAUGAUAGCAACGCAAUGACACCAAAAUAUUUAAUGAAGCAAGCAUUGAAACACCAAAAACUUGGAAGACCAAAGUGCCUUAAAGCACAUCUCAUCACUAGCCUAACAUGAAUCUCUACAUCAUGAUGAGAGGACACUAUGGAGCUGCUCGACCAUCAACCACUCUGAUGACAACAAAUCCACCAAGCCAUCAACCCUUGCAACCUUGCCCGUUGGUAAAUACAGCAGAUGGUAGUAAAUACCAUGGACAACAAUAGCCAGCACCAAUAAUAACACCAGCCAAGGAUAAAGGAGAGUGGAAAUGAAAAAAAGGGAAGAAAAAGCCUGAAAGCAUUUCAUCAAAUAGGCAAAGGCAUACUCAACAGCCAUCCCAUAGAACAAUAACCACACCCCACCACCAUACACAAGGCAUCCACCCUAGACACCCAACCGGGCCAAAAAAAAAGGCAUGCUGCACAGCCAAGCCACUGCAUGCUGCAUGCACAGCCACAACCUCCACAGUGAUGCCAAGGAAGAGAAGACCCCUGAAGACACGGGACUAGUGGGCCCCCAAACCCUAAUCCACUUGCUCCCAUAAAGAGAAGCCACCAAAUGAGAAAAAGGGCAGGGGUCAAGACACCCAAGCAAAUCGGCAUUUGCUGGUCAGUACUGCCCCAAACCAGGUAGAACUGAUUGAUUCCACUCAAUCCAACCAGGUUCAGCUAUGGGACCAGAUUGGAAGGUCAUUUCGUCCUUGUUCCUCGCUAGGUCGGUAAAGCGUGAGGUGUUCCACCCAUCUCAAGAUGGUUCAACCAACCUUCACACAUGCACAACUCCAAAUAACUUCCUGACUCAAAAAAAAAGGGAUACAAAUGAAUACACUCCCAAUAAAAUUGAAAUCUGGUGGAAAGAGCAGGAAUGCAAUUGCAUAGUGUUGUUUCAGCAUUAAAUGCAGAUGAAAGUUAAAACAAAAUCUCAAACUUAGAUGUCUUUUGGGGUGGUUCUAUAUCCAGUGGAUAUAUUUUCUAUUCAUGAUCAUGUAGGAAAAUUAUGGGUGGCAAAAGAUCAGGUCCAUGUCGAGUUUGGGUUGGACAUCAUAUUGAGGUUGCACAGAGCUUGGAUCCAACUUGGAAAACAAAUUUCCGAAAAUUUUUAGGACAAGGACCUGGCCUGCUUUAAAAAAUGUCAAUCUGGAAGUAGCCCAGUUUGACUAACUUGCUAAAAACUAAGUGGACCUACUAGUUAAAGAAAAAGAAAUAGCAACCCCUCCUUGUCUCCUACCCCUUUACUUUGUUCCACUGAUCCAAAGAGAGCCUAAACCAAAUCCAUCUCCCACCUUCCAUAAAAAUAUAGUAAUACAUUGAAAAAAUCCAGUCUCCUCCCAACUAUCUAGGGUCAGCACACCUUUUUCUCAAAAAAAAAAACCAAAAUUAUCAUAAAAUCCAAGAUGGUUAGGGAUGUACAAUGGAACUGAGAAGGGUUCUAUAGUAUAGAGAGAAGGCUUGUAAUUUAGAGGCAUCCACCACGAGUUGGAUUUCAAAUGUUGUUAUUCCACAAGCCAAGUUGAACUUUAGUGAUGAUGCUCACUCAAAUGCCCCUUUUUUCUGUCAUAUCCAUGAACAUGCCUCCCCCUCUUUUUAUUUCCUCUCUCAAUGGCCAUGGGAGGAAAGCAAAGAGGGAUAUUAGGGAUUGUGUGUGAGAGAGAGAAAGCUAAAAAGGGAAAGGAGUUUAGGAACUAGCUCAGUUGGUCAUCUAAAGGAUAUCUCAAAUCUCAAGCGAGAAGGCUAUGUUAAAGGGUGGAUGGAGCAAAGUCUAGUAAUUUUUAACUUCUCUUGCCCCAAGUUGUCCAAAAAUAUAGACCUGGACCCAACAAGAACUUAAAUUUAGAUAGAUGAUCACAUUUGGAGCCAAAUUCCAGACAAAGGGAUGAUUCUUUUGAGCUAUUAUUUCUCAGAUUAGAAUGGGUCAGACAGAGCAUCAGACAAAAAAUUGCAACUCCUGAGGAAACUAAGAUGUAAAUGAAUAAAAUGCUAAAGAUCAGCUACCUUCCCAAAGUGUCUUACUUCUGAUUUUUGGAAAUAAAAAAUGGUCAAAGAAGAAUGUCAAGAGUCCUAAGGUUCAAAGAACUAAUAUCAGGGAGUUAUAUAAUAUAAUGGAACCAUCAUAACGUGAUAAACAAACUAGGAUGAAUAAAAAAAAUAUCUAUAAAACAAAUUUAACAAUUUAUAACCCUACACAUUUAAUUAAGUAGUCAUCUAAAUUCAAUAUGUUUGUAUAUUAUAGUGAAAAACAAUGAAGAAAGUAUUUGAAUGCACUAGGGAGUAGAGACUAGAAAGCUUCAUAAUUACUUAAAAUGAACUUUUAAACAAAUGAAGUUCAAAGUAAAUACAUAUUCAUGGUACAAAAUACCAAUAUACUUUAUGAACUUAUAUGUGAGCACUGACUCAGCUUAAAAAAGUUACACAAUAGAACCUAUAUUUUACAAUAUUCAAACUUUUCUUGGCUACACUUAUUUUCUUUUUUUCUUUUUUUGCGAACUUUUGGUGAUUCUUAUGCUGGAAAUCCGAUGUUUGGACCAUAACUAGUGAAACCAUUGAUAUCACAAAGACUGUAAAUUCACAAGCCCAACCAAAACCAAAAAGGAAAAAAAAAGAUUUUUCAAACAUUUAAUUGUCAUAAAUAGGACUAACAUGUCAGGAGGGAAAACAACAAUAGGAAUUGUGGAUUUCCACCACAUGCACAAUAUGUCAUGAUAUAAUUUUCUAAACCCUUUAAUCAGAUGAUUAGCACAAUAUAGAAACAUUAGAGAUGCAUAGGCUACUUCCAUAUUUAGUCAGAAAAGGCAGGAAAGGAAACAAACUGUCAGAUUAUGUCUUUUAUCAUCAACUGCAGGUACUGAGCUACUGUUUGGCUCCGCCAUAGUUGCAUCGUGAGAGCUUGAAGCCUGUUCCCCUCCUUUUUCUUGUUUAGCAGCAUCCUCUGCAGCCUUUUUAGCAGCAGCUUCUUGCCUUGCCCUCUCCUCUUCCAUCGAAACCCUAAGUGCAAGAGCCAACUCAGGAUCUAUGUUAGGAUCCACUCCAAAAUCAAAUCCAGAUAAGCCACCAGCUGCAGCCGCAGCAGCAGCAGCAGCAAAACCACUUCCACCAUCCCCAUCUCCUGUAAAGACUGGUGUGCUGCAAAACAAUAAAUAAAUGAGAUAACUUGGGCAUGAUUCAUGGAUCUUAAGUUGUAUCAUGGACUUCUGGAAAUUUUAGUUAUACCUUAUAAGUACAUCAGAGAGAGCAUUUGGUCCAGGUGGGACAUGAACUAUGUGACUGCUGUCAUUAUUGUUUACAGCAGCAAGAAGGGCCUCCAGUUUUUCAGGUUUGCCAUCAUCAGAUUCUCCAAAAUCAACAAUAUCAAGAGAAACACUGUUCUUCUUCAACUUUCUUCCAAUUGCCUCCAAUGUCUUCUUAUCAUAUUUAAUUGGACUAAUACAUGAAAGGUUUGACAAGAAAAUCAUAAAUCCAUAUAAUCAUGCAAGUGCAAAAACACAUCUUGACCAUACUGUACCUUCCAGCAAAUACUAUGAUCCUUUGUUGCUGCUUCUUAUUUUGGCGGUGUUUAAGAGCCAACUGAGCAACCUGGAUCCCAGCAGUCAAGUUCAUCUCACCGCCAAUUUCCAACCCUGCAUACAGAAAGCAAUCAACAUACAUGCCAUGACAUAUGAGAAGUUAGUCAAAUAGUAUAACAAGAAGAUGAAUCUCUGCUUUACACCAAGCAGAGCUUAGGCUAUUCUGCCUAGCAUGUUUUGCCAUUAUAGAUCUCAAGUUUCAACCCAGAAUACAAAACAGGUAGUAAUUGUUAGCAUGUAUAUCUCUUAAUAUCUCUUCAGUCAUGUGUUUUUCUGAAAGAACUCUAAUAAAAAUUUUAAGAGCAGGGAAAAUAACCUAUUGAUUUUCAAGAUGAACUUCAAAGAGUUGAAGAUAUCGGUGAACUGACAUUUUAAAAAUGAAAAUUUUAGAAAACACUCUCAAAUAAGAAAUAGACUUUCUACAUUGAAAAAGACAAAUACACAUAUUAGCAUGUAUAUACAAAUAGAAUAUAUGAUUUGGUCAUCAUAAAUAAUACAUGAGUGGAAAGCAACAUGUUGAAUUGCCAUCAGUUGGCCAUUCUGAAUAGGAAACAAAGCCAAAAUCUGAUUGCAUAGCCUCCUAUCCAUGGAUGCCCUCUAUGAGGAUCAUGGAUGACCAAUAGCUAUGGCUCUAAGGUAUAAAUUGUAGCAUCAAGGAUUCAACAAUUUAAAUUGUAACAUCAUGAUGAGGAAGAAAGGAAUGCUAAUCAAGUAUUCUUGCCUACACCUUUAGCAUAAUGAAAGUAUGAGGAAAAAGGAUAAUCUAAUGAUUAAGAAGAAAUGAAAUUUGUCAUGCCAUAACACAGCCCAUAAGGCCAUAACCAUAACAUUACACCAGCAGGUACCAUAAACAUGCUCAGAUAACAGCCAGCUUAUGUUUAAUGAUUACAUACACAUCUAAAGCCAUGAUGUUCAAAAGAGUCAGGGCAACUUUGAAUGAGCACAGAAAAUUGCAGCCUCCAUAGAUUAAAAUGAAAGCUCCAGGUAAUCUAUAAUCUGUGGAAGAACUUUAACAUGUUCUCCUUAUUUUUCUUUAGUUUUCAUCAGUAUAAUAUUCAUUAUACGUAGUACUGGAGUAAAUUUCCUAUGUUUUCAUUAACCAUAUGCAAAACAAUUUGUCCAUUUUUCCUUCUUUAUGUUCCAAGACUUCUUAUCAAGAGCCACUGGAAACAGGAAACUUUAAAAAAAAGCAAUCAUCAUGAAACAGAUAACAAGAACAGUGCAGGGAUAUAUGUCCUAUAAUCCUUGCUUAAAUUGCAGGAUAAGUGCGUUUGUAAUCCACCAAAAUACCACUCAAAAGAGUGUUUCUUCAAACAAAAAGAUGUGACUUUCUGCGGUGCCUUCAUCUCCAAUAUUCCAAAAUUCCUGAAGCUUCAGUUCACCAAAUAGUUUAUAGUGUAAAAAAGCGUGGAAUAGCUAGAUCGGAGAAUCAAUCUAAUCCUAAAAGAAGCAAAAGCGGACUAUCCAAAUUACAAUCUACUACUUGAAUGAUAAAAUAGUUAUUAUGAAGAAAUUGGGGUUCGUUUAAACAGAAAGUUUAUCAUAAAUAAAGAGAUGCAACGCUAAAAAAGAAUAAAUUUUGCAAAGAAAAAUUCUACCAUGCAUGCAAGCUAGGAUCUUUCCAAGAUCACCGGUUGGAGUGACUAGAACACGGACCCCCUUGCCUGCCAUCGUCAGGACGCCCACUGUAUUCUCCGGAUUAGACUGUAGGAUCGGACAUAUAUAAUACAUAAGAAGAAGAAGGCAUAUAAUCUAAAACCCUAAUAGUCGACCAAUCCUAUGAAAAAAAGAAAAAAAUACACCCCUAGAAUCCAUAAUUUCAAGCGUUGGUUUGGAUUAAAGAUGGAGGCGAGAUCGAGGGAAAGGUGAGUAAUUACCUGCGUUUUAGCCCCGCAUAUGAGAUUGACGGCGUCGGCUUGGGCUUGGAAUCGGGUGGGCGAGUAGUCCCCAUUCCGCAUCCACUCCGAAUUAUCGAUACAGAUCAUCGUCGCCUGGGAGAAACAAGAAAAAGACUAGGUUUCAGCGAAACCCUAAAGAUCCGACGAAAUUAUGCACACCGAGAGGAACGGAAGGAAAUAAGAAGGGAGGAAGAAGGAAGGGACCCAGAGGGAGAGAUGUGACCUCAAGAACCAUGGCGACAAGGCGAGAUGGAGAUCGAAGAAGAAAUCGCGAUGGAGGGAGGACAGGAGGUCGGAAGAGAGAUUUCAAGAAUUCUUGCUUGCGAUCGAGACAGCCUACGACGGUACUAGUUGGAGCAAGGAAUAGAUGUCCAGUCUGCCGCACGUCUACUUUGGUAAAGACAAAUAAGAAUACGACGCGUGGCUAAAGUUUAGAUGUGCACGCCGGCCCGCAUCAAAUAUCAAUGUAAAAUAAAUAAAUAAAAAAUGUGUGCGUAAAAUUAUGAUUUGCAUAUAUGCUUUUAUAAAAUAUUUAUUUUAUAUGUAUAAUAUAUAUAUAUAUAUANNNNNNNNNNNNNNNNNNNNNNNNNNNNNNNNNNNNNNNNNNNNNNNNNNNNNNNNNNNNNNNNNNNNNNNNNNNNNNNNNNAAAAAAAAAGAACUUUAUAAAGAUAUGCAUAUAAAUAGUAACUUUGUAAGGAUAUUCAUACAAUUACAUAUAUUUAGAAUGGUAUGCAAUUAAAAAAUAGUAAAAAAUGAUCAAAAUUUAGUAAAAAUAAUUCAUUUUUUAAUAAAAAAGAUGGUAAAUAAUGAUUAACAUUAUCGUGUCACAUGAUCUCAUGUUAAUAUCAACUAUUAUAAAAUGAAUUAUGUUGCUUGUACGAAAUUCUCGCUUCAAGAACAAACAACAACUUAAUAUUUACAAAUUACUAAAAAAUAUUUUACCAAUCUGAGCAUCUAUAAUUAAUUUAAAUAUGAUAUGCUUGAACUUUUUAAAAAAAUAAAGAAUAUAUAGAUGUCAUAGAUUCAAUAAUGAUAAUUAUAUUAAAAUCAAAUGGAGAAUAGCAUUAACAAAAUGAUCGUCUAAUAUUCUAUUUUUGAUGUGUCGAUCUAGCUGAAUCAUAAAAGACUUACCAAGUUCCAGCCGAGUUUUGAUCUUUUUUUAAUUUUUUUUGAAUAUAUAUCCUUCUAAAUAUGAAAAAUUAUAUAAAUAUCUUUGUAAAGUUGCUAUUUACAUGUAUGCCUUUAUAAUUUUUUUCUACAUAUCUAUCCGUAAGGGUAUUUCAGUUAUUUUAGUUUUAAGUCAUUUAAUUUUUAAGGACAUUAGAUGGUAUAAGUACAUAUAUAUAUAAAAAAAGUAAAAAAGAAGAAUAUACAUGCAAAUAGUAAUUUAAUAAGCGUAUUCAUGGAAUGCACCCCCACUCAAAAAAAAAAAAAGAAGGAAAGAAAAGUGAUUCAUAUGCAUGACUUUGAUGUACUUUACAUUUGAUGCAUCUUGAAGGUAUAACGUUGUUGAAGUUGCGCCAACGCACGCACUGUAUCUGGCUCAUCCGAUUAACGUAAGAGGAUUGAAUGAACCUACAUAGAUGAUUUUGACUUCCAUAUGUCCAUGCCUAAAGUCCAUGCCUGAAGGAAUAAAAGCUUUGGUUAAUGCUGAUACUGUCGAAUCUGUUUUCUUAGAAUCUAGCUCUCUUUUUCUUUUUUCUUUUUUGUUUUUGGGGGUCGUUGGACCCCAGAUGCAUUGGGGGAAAAAUAGACUACAUAGUAACGUGAGCAUCGCACGUAUCAUCGUGUGCACAUUUCUCUUAAUAAAAUCAGUACUGAUUAGAUUAGAGUACUUUGAACUGCAGUAACCAUUGUUUUGAUACACCUUGGACAGCCGAACCAUUUUGUAGGACGUAGCCACGUAGGUGAAGCAUUUUUGGUUAAACAGGCCACAAAGAAAUAUCAGAAGUUCCUUUGUAAUCUGGUGCAUGCAAGAUUCUCCCGUGAAUAAAAGUGAAGAAAACUUGGAAUCUAGGAAUAUGUAUACGAAGAUGGUGGAACAUGGAAUGGAAGCACAAAACUCAAACAAAAUAUACCACAGUGCAAGCGAGCAAAACACAAACAAGCCAUCACAACAAGAGACUCCAUGACAGUGGCUUACAGAGGCUGUUCGCUCCUGGAAAAAGAACCUGAAAUAUGGGGAAGCUCUCCGAGGAAGACAUGACAGCUCUUCGAGGAAAGGUACAGCAUCACAAACCCUACAAGGUAUUCUGAAUUGCCCAUGGAUUCAAUAAACAAUCCAGAUGCAACCAGAACUGGAGCAAAUAAAGCAUACAAGAAGCAACUUCACCAUCAAAAGAUGUCAUAUUAUCAGAAGAAAUAUGAUUACAUUACUUGUACAGUUGAGGAACAAUCAAUUUAGGUAUCAUGCAAGCGCUGAUGAUUUGGAGGCAAAAGAUGUGCAUGCAAUUAGUUAACCUUCCUGGUGGCAGCAGAGCGCUUAUUGCUCAUGUCAUCUCCAUGAAAUGACAUUCUCAGGAUUAUACAGAAGGGUGAGAAGCAGAUCAUUAUGCAACAAAUGGAGUUCUGUCGUUAAGGAAGGCUCUACGAUUUCUACUGACAGGGAGAAGUACAUAAACCUCAUGGACCUCCUGCUUACACGCUUCCCCUUUAUCCCUGUCUAUGGCAUAGCACACAUAAAUGGUAUCAAUAACGUUAUCCAACACAUGAACAAAGUAACACAACACCACCAUGAGCAGCAACCAUGCAAGGGCUGCAACAAGAUACGUUUCAACCCCGAGAGCACUAACAGCUUUCAAAAUCGCAUAAACCUGUUUCAAGACACAGAUAUACUGAUAUUCAUCAGAACAUAAAACAGAAAUCCUUGGAUUUCUGAUUCACAAAAUUUCACCAAAUUUAGUUACAUAACAGCAUCUAACAAAUGUGUGUUAUUCAUAACACCAAGAGAAACAAAAAUCUUAUGAAGGUGGAUAUGUUUUUUACUGGCAGUUUAUUAAUGUUCCAGUUUUAAUAUCUUGGCUCUUAGAAGAAGGCUGCUACAGAACAAUUGUUAUCAGACACUCCAGAAAUAAAAAACUAUAACCCACAUGCUUAAAUUUCUUGCAUAGACAAUAGAUCUCAAUAUGGCAUGUGUCAUGAUAUAGGGAAGAAACAUUGUUAAAAGGAUCCCACUCUCAUCACACGCACACACACCCCACCGUAAACAAUCAAACGGAAAUGUCUAUCUCGUUAUGUGAAUAUAUACAUUAACUUGCUAGUAUUCUUUUAUAACAAUGAAUACCCAGAAGUUCCUAGAUUCAAAUUCUUUGGAAGUCCAUGUAUCGCUCAGGAAUGAAACAUUUUAAAGUUAAUUUUGCCAUUAGACAGAGAUUAAUGAGUAUUAAAAAGCAAUGAGCAAUAAUUAUAAAUUUUCAAAAGCUAAAUUUGUAUUGGUGGAGUUCUUCAAUGCUCCAGAACUAUAAAGGAUGACAAAACAGCUAUGUAGGGAUCACAGCCUAGGCAUUUCUUAGUUUACCUAAUGAAAAAUGUUCUGGUUUGGGAAGAUUCUUGCUAUCAUAAGAUGAGUGUAACAAGGAUGAGAAUGCCAAAUGAACAUGACGUAAAAAAUAAGACAAGAUACAGACUAGAUUUGUGCUGCAAUGUUUUCAGUCUAAAAUGGAAUGAGCUGUGGUCUACACAGAGCCCAUCAAAACAUGGUUUCUUGCAAAAGUUAAUCCACCAGAAUGCAAUUGCAUGAAGUUUUCAAAUAAAUAUAAGUUUAUUUGUCCCUUUGUCCAGACUGUAACAUCUUUCUUUUCAGCACACUAACAGAUUUCUAGAUUGAGAGUCAGAAAGACCUUUCUGAAUGGAAUGAGAAUUUUUUUAUCUGCUCCAUCCUUGGUUCUUCGCAUAAACAAUCACGAAAACAAUGUUACACAUGAUUAGAACACUGGAUGCCCAUAAUCUCAACAAAACCAUGCCCAUGCCAUCAAGCCUUCUCCCAACAUUAUCUAGAAGUUAUAUUCUAACUAUAACUAAAGCCCCUUAGCUAUUUACAUGGAAAGAGUUUUAGCAAAUUUUACACAAUUUUCUAGCAUAUUUUGUGAUAGAGUUUUAAAUUAUAGGUGUGCUUCCAAUCCUCAUCAUCCUAUAGCUUUUCAAAUCCUUACAAACCUUUUUGCCGGAAGAGUUUCUUUCAAUCUUUCCAGUUUCUUGUGAAACAUCUAGUGAGUAUGAAGGUUGACCAGUCUUGACCUAACAGAAUGACAUACAGUAAGGUUCCUUCAUGACUUUAAACAUAAUAUUAGGAGACAUAAGGCUUGCCUCUGUUCAAGUUGUAAUAUCUCUCUCUUAUGCCCCAAGUUUAAUUGUUUAAGUGACCAAGGGAUCUUGUGAUAGAAGUGUGGAAUCUUUAGGUGUCGCACAGCUCUCUAACAGCACGAACAUCCUCUUGAUGCCCAACGCCAUAACCUCUAUCCUUGGCCUUAUCCUCUUAGUAAGAACUCUCAGCUUGGUGUAUAAGUUUCAUGGUACCAAUUUGAUUUAUCUUCCUUAUAGUUGAGACAUGUACAAGGUACAGGGAGAUUAAUAGAUAGGAUUAUCAGUGUUUUAAGGGAUUUAUAGGUCUGCUAUCCAGAAAUUUGUCCUCCAAUGGAUCUAGACAUAUCUACAGAAUUUGGGUAAAGAAGGGCGAAGAAAGGGGUUUCUUGGGACUAUGAUUAGUAGGAAACUAGGUUAAAUUAGGGGAGGGGUGCAGGGGGGUGUUUAAUUUUGGACUAAGAGCCAAGAAACAGCAGGACGUAAGAAAAAAUAGAGAGGAAGAAGCGUGAUAUAGGGAAAAGAGAAAAGGGUAAAAGAGAAGCUAAAAAUAAGCAGACAUUACAAGGAGAUGAAAGCUGGCUGAAGAUGGCCCUUUCACUUCUUCCUUGCCUGGAUAAUGGAAAACUAGUCCCCUUUCUGACCAACCUCUGCACUUCUAUAGAAUUGAUAGCUAUAAAAUAUGGAGGAUAAGUCAAAAAAGAUUAUAGACAAAUGCCACUAAUUUUCUCCCAAAUUCUUGCAAAGGAAGAAAGAAAUCUAAAUUCAUAAAAGCUAAAUACGUCCCUUUAGUUUCUUGCUGAAGAUUCCAAAAAUUUCCAUGAUAGCAUCCAAAGGAUGUUAUGCUGUCAACCACAAACAUUAGACCAUUUCUGGAAGAGGUGGGGGGAGGCCUGAUCCAAGGAUUACGAAUGGAUGCUAAAUUAAAAAUCUAAGGAGAUUUUUGAAAAUGCAAGCUCAUGAAUCAGUAGAAUCAAUUGUAUGCAGAAUCCAAUUUCAAUGAGAUUUUGAACAAAAUUGCAAUCCAUCCAAAGCAUCUCAGUGUAAAACUAGACUAUACAUCUUUGUCCCAAAAAUGUUCCACUAAAGACAACCACUAAACCUAGAGAGAGAUAGCUGGGUGAUAGCCUUGUUCACAGUAAAGAUAAUUUUCUAAUUAGAUGAAAUAUUAUGGCCUAAAUGUAAACACUUCAUCCAUCAUAGGUAUAUGCAUUAUUUGUUGCUGACUGCAGACAGAAACUGAAGUUGUGAGAUUUAUGAAAAAUAAAUUUACAGGUUUCACAUACCGCUAUAGCAUACAAUGCUGAGAGAACAAAAAUAAUUCCAGCCAGUAUGCGUGUGGAGACUGUCUCAACAAAAACAGCAGAAAGAAGAUUUCGUUUUAGAAGCUCAUAUGUCAUCUUAGAAGAAGAACAGUAACCUUCACCCAUUAUUGCAGCAAAAUUUAUGGUAAACUUGUUAACAAAGUCAAAUGCUGACAGCAAGAAAUUAGCACAGCACUUGAGCACUAGAUUCACAAAUCCUGGAGCUACAUCUUCUUGCUUUGCACUAUCUACAACAGCACGGACAACACGGAUAGCACCCAUUACCAUUCCAGAAAAACAUACUGUACCAAAGGAGGGACCAAAAGCAUUCCUGCAUAUAUUAGGAAAAUAAUCAAGAACAGCAAUGAAAUGUUUCCAUGAAAGUAUCCAUGUAUAAAUAUAUUAAACCAUUAAUUUGAAGAGCAAUAAAGAAAAGCUGAGGUUUCUGUUUGACAACAUCUGCGACCCAGGUUCUACAUCCAGGUCCUGGACCUAGUAUCGGUCAGGGACCGGGUUGGGACUGGUAUCAUCCUGACACUUGGGCCAGGUUGGCAUCUUGAUAAUUCACUGGGUACCUUUUUUCUUAUUUUUCCGGUUGUUUGUUGUUUUUUAAUGUUUGUUUAGAGGGUUUUUAGGGUUUGCUUGUCAUAAUUUAGGAUUAGGGUAGGUUUUCGGAGCCAAUGAUUGGAUUUAUGGUGCCCAUACUGAUGCCAAUUUCAUAUUAGGUUUAUGGUGUCACACAAAGAUGUAAUAGGCUAUUGUAUGAUUAUGAGUGUUAGCUUUGCCUUGUGAAUUUGUUGUAAAAAAAGUGGUUAGUUUGACUCAUGAAAAAAUAAAGAUUCUGAUUUUAGAUAUUCUUCUUUCAACAGCUAUAUAAUUUUAUAAUAAAAGCAAAGUAAGUAUUGGUUCUCUACUUUCAAACCUUGCAUGUACAAAAGAUACAUAAUGGAGAAAAGAAGCUAAGUUUGUUCAGUGACUAAGUUAGAUUACCAACCUUUUUAGGUUUUCAAAUAUUUUCUGGCCUCUAAAUUUUUUCUAGAAGAAUAUUAGAACAAACCAUAAAACAGAAUAAAAUUGUCACAGAAAAUAGAAUCAUGAGUGCAUAUUAUAUUCCAGAUCUAAAUUUGAAAAAUGUACAAUACUCAUUAUCAUCAAGUGAAAGCAAACAACCCCAUAAUCCAUAAUCAUCACAAUCAAGCCUUACUGCCUUACCAAAUUAUUUGGGAAUCAUCUUUAUAUCCUCAUUCACCAAUCUUUCCCAUAAGCUUACUCCAACCAGUGUUACUGCUCCAUCAAUGCUAGUGUAGGCCGUCCUCUCCCUUCUCUAGACACUUCAACAUAGAUUCAAACACCUGUCACUAUCAAGGACUCAUCACUGCAACUCCUAUGCCUCUAAUAUAUGUUCUUAGCUCUGUCCUUCCUAGUUUUACCAUUCUUCUACAUCAACAAUUUCAUUUGUUCCAUGUUCAUCUUGUUCUCUCAUCCUUCUUAUUGCCCAAUAUUAUAAAGCAUACAGCAAUAUGGUCAUAUCCUUCUUAUUGCCCAAUAUUAUUGCCAAGGAACACAUCAGUCACAUAACACACAAUAAGCAUCUCUCCACUUUAUCCGCCUAGCUCUAACUCUAUUGAAUGCAUUAGUCUAUCUUGCCACUAUGUUUUUACAAUAAAUCCAAGAAAGCAAAAUCCUACUGCCACGUAGUAUGUCUUGGCCAGUAACUAAGACCUCAUUUUCAUUUGUAGUCCAUUGGAUUUCAUUCCAUAAACUAUAUUUUGGCUUUACUGACUUUUAAGGCCCUCAUUUUCAAAGAUUUUACUCCAUAUUUCCAAAAGAACCACAUCCUAUUCUCAUCCAUAUCAUCUGAAAAUAACACAACCUAUAAUAUAUUUUCCAAAAAAAUAGCAGUAAGUUCAUCUGCAAACUGAUAACAAAGUUGUAUAUCUGGUCCAUUAAUUUUCAUGAAGGCCUGACUCUGUAUGUAUUUAUGUAUGUACAUAUCUAUGUAUGUAUGUGCAUAUCUAUGUAUAUAUGCACAUGUGCCCAUUUAAAGCGCAUUCCAACUGAACAGUCAAAUCUCAUCCGCUUCUCAUUAAUCACAUAAUAAUAACAAACUUUCCUGAAUAUUAUCAAUAAGUUCAACUAGGGAUAGACUAAGGAUACAUAAUAUAUCGCUAAUCCUCGGCGUAAACUCACGGUGACUAAAAUUGACUUUUCUCUCAUCGUAACCACUAGCAACUGUCACUGCCUUAAAAUACAUGCCAUCAACAAUUUCAAUGUAUCAUUUACUCUCAACUUACUUCCUCAAUUCCCACCAAAAUGCAUCUCACGAUACUCCAUCAUAUGUUUUCUCCAAGUUGAUAAACAUGUCUAGGUUUUAUGCUUCUCCCAAAAACUUCCCAUCUAUUACCAAAGCAAAAAGAUAGGCCCCAUUAGUUAUCUGCCAAACAUAAGGCCAUAUUCACUCUCCUUUAGUUUGUUAUUAUAUUUGUUAAUUCUUUGUUCUUUCUCUCUUUCCCAUAAUUCCCCAUAUUUUGUUAAUAGUUGGUACAAAUUUAUGAAUCAACUUAAAGGUCAGCAGCAUGCAAGCAAAUGAAAACUAGGGCAUGGAUUAGGUCCUGCUUCUAUACAGAUAACUAGUUUGUUAGUCGAGCUCAUGAGCUCACAAACGCAAUAUCUUGACUCUUGACCAAAUAAUCAAAACUAAUCACCAAUCUACCAAAAAACAGAUGCAUCCUGAACAAGGGAAAUUCCUGCAUAAAGCAGCCAGUGUAAACAGCCACCAUUAGUUCUAAAAUGCUUUCUUUCACUUCAGGAGGUGCAUGCUUGAACCUAUUAAAGGUUCUACUUCAAGAUAGCAGAACAAAAGACAGAAAAAGGGCCACCAAGGUGGUAGCUCAGUUGGAACGGGGCGUUUGCUUCCAACCAAGUGGUUACAGGUUCGAAAUACGCGGGCGUCGAUUAAAUUCGGGGACUGGAUGCCCCACGCCUGAACACGGGGUCUGGAAGCGCUACUGGUCGGCUGGUAACCUUGGUAGUGCUAGGUGUGACAUACUCACAUGGUAGGUUCGUGCCAGAGCCCAGAAAGGUAACCGAGCCGGCCCACGGGUGGGAAGGGUAUGAGUAAAACCGGUCGGGGUGCCCAACACACACGGUCAGCCCGCAUCGAAUAUUCUUCUGGCGGGGUGGGGGCCCAGUGGGGGUUGCUCUGCGGGGUGGGCUCCCCCCUUCCCCUUUUCUUUAAGCAGAAAAAAAAAAAAGCAGAAAAGGGAUAAGAACAUCACCUUAAAGAGCUCCUUAUGCUCCGGCUAGGCUUGGACCCCUCCUUCGAGAAAUACCACUGUGCGAUCGUCCCACUAAUGACAUACACCUGUGCCUCCACCAUUACAGCUACUGACCACACCAUCGUGAUGAUCGCCAGUGCAAAGUAAGCCGGAACCCACCCAUCCUGCCUCCACACGCACAAAUAAUACUCCCCCCCACUGGCUCCCUCCUUCACCUUGGGCACCACCUUCCCGUUCCACGUGGAAAACACCAAGAACACCACGACUGGGGCAAAGUAGACCAGGAGGCCGAGCCCCAGCGCGGGAAGCACGGCGAGCAGGCUCAUGUUGCCGGCGAGGGCGGCGGCGGCGAUCCGGACGAUCCGGACGGUCAGCUCGACGCGGUGCCAGUUGGCGACGAUGAUCCAGAGGAUGAUGGCAAUGAGGAGGAAGAUGAAGAUAAGGGCGAGGAUGCGGUAGGCAAGGGGAAAGGAGUGGCGGCAGCCGUGGCUGAGGGCGCAGGCGGCGAACCAGUAGACAUUGACAAAAGCCGGGAUGAGGAUGAAGAAGGGAAGGGCUGCGUACACCAACUGUUUGGCGUAAUGUCGGAGGAGCCAGAGGACGGCGAGGGCGAUAGGGCCGGCGAGGAGGAGGGUGACGACGAGAGUCCAGCUGAGAUCCUUCAAGAAAGGGGAAGAAGAGGAGGAGGAGAAGGAGAGGGAGUUGGAGGAAGACAGGACGCAGGAGGAGGUGGCCGGGUCGAAGACGAAUGAGGAGGCGCGGGAGGCGGCGGGGUUGCGGCGGGCGACGGCGACGAGGCCGAGGGCGAUGGUAGAGAGGGAGAGGAGGAGGAAGAGGACGAGAGCGGGGAGGUCGCGGAGGGGGCGGGGGCUGUGCUGGUAAUUGAUCGGGGGGUAACUCUCGUCGGCGGCGGCGGAGAGGAGGGGCUGGGAGGCGGAGGAGGGGUCGUAUAGGAUAGACGGUUUGGACUCGUCGCCGCUUCCCAUAAGACGGGGCGGAUUGUAUGGACGGCUUGGUGAUCUCGGGGGCGGUGGGUUCCGACCAACGAUGAAGGGUCGGAGGGCCCGGGUUGGGUGAUGAGCAAAAAGAGACGGCGAUGUGCGAUGGCGGAAAUAGGCCUGCGAAAAUUAGGCGUGUGCAACAAACCAACAGAAUCAAUCCAGAGCUGUAACGGGUGAAAAAAUAAAGGGUUUGAAUACGGUUCUUCGGCAGCCUGCAUAAAUACUGCAGGUUAAUCAUCCCCAAAUCAAGCAUAAUCCUUAAGGAACGUUUAGUAUAGGUGAUCAUCCCAAGAUCAAGAAUGAUGUAAAUGAAAGUGAUGAGAUCACCGCAUUUAGUUGCACCACAAUGAUCCUACGUUGUGGUGAUUCUAAAUUACCUCUACUCCUCAAAUCACCGUCCAACUCGGUGAUGGAAUAUCCGCCCUUAAGAUCCGAAAUCCAAUAACAUCCUAGAACAGUGGUUCUAAGUUAAAAGUUAAAGACAAAAAUACCUUUUAAUUUAGCAGAAAAAUUGAUAUGUCAAUAUACCAUCAAUAUAUUAUGACAAUGUUUAUAUAUAUAUAAUAUUAUGUUGGCAUUAUAUAUUAUAUUACGAUUAUCCAACAAGGCAGCAUGUGAUUGGAACAACAAGUCGUGGUUCGUGUGUUCACAUGGGGCUGGACCAAUCAUGGGGAAUCAUUUUCCUUCACCAAUCACGGCUAUUACGCCUUGCAGUUUUGGCUCCCGUUACAGUCCAUGAGAGAAGACCUUUUGAGCCAUCCAAGGUAUGAUGUGCUCGCGAAAGCUAGAAAUGCUGCAGCUUGCCUUUUGCAAAUCAGGAUUAAUAACGAAGAAGGUCCAGUUCUAGGCUCCUUGAUGUAUGAUCGACACCCCUGAUCUCAAAGGGAAAGGGUUGUGAAAAAAUAUUCUUUGCUGCAAAUCAGGAGACAAGAAUGGGAUGAUGGAGUCUGCUAUCAGGUACGAAUAAAAUGAAAACAAAGGUCGUGUUAAGAGUUAGGUUAAAAAAGUUACUAGUGCCAUGAUUUGAGUGGAAGUCGUCAUCGGCCAGAGACAAUCGCAGUGUUCCCAUUACAAAAAAGUAACGGCUGAGCCAAAGGAGGACCUCUUGGAUCAGCAACACAAACCUCCAAGGCAUUUUCAAAAAUAAUGACAUAAGACUCUAAUAUAAGAUAUUGGAAAGGAGUUAUCAGGGAAUUGACUCUUGCAGUAUGUUCUCUCACGGGAAAGACCUGGAAUCUUGCAAUAUGGAGCAGGUCUCCAUGCAUGGAGGCAUUCCCAAAUCUUACUCUUAAGUGCCAACAUGGAGAGGAAGAUGAGCUUUAAUGACUAAGCCGCAGGCUCAUUUGAUCAGAGCGAGACAAGAGGUGUAACCUCGAGAGCAGUUUGAACUUGGAUCCAUUUGUAUUUCAGUUUAGAGCGCUAAAUCUUUAAUUAUUUAUAAUGGAGCUCGAGCAUUUAUUUCUCGAUAAGUUUAUAAGAGCAGCAUGGGAAGGAUUGAAGGAUGCUGUUUGCCAGUUGAAUGCCAGUAGAAUAUGAUUGGAAGGGGAUUCAUUAACAGCCAUUAAUUGGAUUAACAGCCCUCGGUUGUGUUCGGUUAGUCACCAUCCUAUUCUAAAAGACAUCUGGAUCUUGGAGAGAAUCCUCCAACUAUUCCAUGCUAAUCACAUCUCACAAGGAAGCCAAGCUGAGACUGGCUGGCUGAUACAGGAACAGAGGAAGAUUACUUGUCUUCACAGGACAAGCAACCUCGUUAUCAUUAUUUGUGCAUGCUGAUAACUUUCGUUGUUCUUUCUUGCCAUUUUGAGUUCUUGAGAUUUCAAAUCCAAAUCAGACAAAAAAAAAGAAGAAGAAGAAGAAGAAGAAAAAUUCCUUGCUUAAGAAACUUGAAAUGUACGACGAUGACUCGAACUGAUCAUCAUUUUGAACCAAACAUCAUCCAUUCUAGUAAUGGUUCCUGACUCAAAUCCAAACUCAGCAUAGAUAGCAUGAUCUCUAUUGUGGUUGAAAUCUGACCUGAGAGUGACCACGCCGGAAAGAAGCUAAGGAGACGCCGGCCGGGAUGGAGAAGAGGGCUACCUCCAAUGCUCCGGGGUGCCUCCGAGAAGACGCCGGCUGGGACGGAGAAGAAGGGCCACCUUCUGCGCUCCGAGGUACUUGCACAGAGCCUUGGCCGGGGAUUCCGACUAAGGCCCUUCGAUAGCUAAGUUAGCCGGGCCUUUUUGUGGAGAGAAGAGUUUUCUGAGUGCCUUUGAUGGCCUCUUGUAGCUCAAAAUAGCUCGUAGAAGCUUAAGAAUGCCUUUAAAAGCUUGUCCAGGCUUAUCCAAACUUACUGAGGGCUUUUUCCUACCCCUUUUUUUAUACGGUGAGGGUUUCAGCUGUUACUUGAAGUCUCGGGCCGAUUUGUGAUUGAUGGGCCAUUAGCUGGAGGCGGCGUGUUGGCAGGUGCGGCAAGAUAUGACCCUUGGCAGGUGUGGCAGAAUAUGACCCUUGACAGCAAGCAUGGCUGGGACAACAAAGUGUUGUCCUUGGUUGGCACGUCAUGGCAUGGCCAACAAGUAAUGGUUCAUAGAAGGGGGCUGGCUAGGCUGAGGUGUUCGGCCAUGUGUGCGAGCGUGGGCGUGCGUGCAGGUACGGCUGCGGGCGAGGUCGGGCAGGCUUGGAUGCCGCGACAUAUGCUUGACAAAGUCGGCUUGGGCCUCUGGCCGAGGUCCGCUGGCUCUUGGCGGGGCUGAAGUCUACCUCUCCGGCCGACUCGGCCAGAAUUGGAUGACUCCAUGCCGGAAUGGGAUGAUCCAUUUUGUCUCCCAUCAAUCUCUUUUUCGUUUUUCUUUCCCUUCUUUUCCUACUUUUUUGUGGAAUGCAAUUAGAUGCAUCGGCUAUGAAAUAUCAUGGGCAUCUUGAGAGCUUUGUAGACUCUGUUCUAAAUCAAGCGAGUGCGAAUUACUUAAUAUCUCGUAUUUCAUGCAUGCACUGCAUCGAACUCGUGCAAGGGCUGGAACAAACUCUAGAAGGUGUCAUGCAGCCUAACGAUGAAGUAUUUUGAUCGUUGUACCGGACAUGUUGGAUCAAAUCCAGCCCUGGUCGAGAUCAGAGAAGAGUUCAGGUGGAUUGAGAUUUGAGAGAAUUGCUAAUGGGUAUAUGAUCCUUAAAUGCAUGCAUAUAUAAUAAUCAAAUAUAAAUUUCUUAGGUCAAAAAAAACAUUUGCUGGAGCAUUAUGAGCUUUAACAAUCAUGGAUUUUAGGUGUGCUAACAUGAUUGAAUUUAAUGUGCAAAUUCAACUCUGAUCUCAGUAUCAAAAUAAUACAAAAAUUCCCAGCAUUUGGAACAACAACUGGGGCUUAGCAUGGCAAUUGGACAAACUGUCAAAGAUCCUUGCAGUCCCUCAUGCACUAUAAACUUAUCUACUUUAUCAUAACCAGUGCUAAUGAAUUCGGAUUAGGUUGUACCUUUUGCACGAAAGAAUGAUUGAUCUUUUUUCAUGAUAUCAACUGUUGGAAUGCAACCCACACAUCUCUCAAAGCAUUCCAAACUUUUCCUUUCUUCCAUCAAUAUAGAUCUUGAAGCGGCUACUACAUGAUCCAACAAUCACGUCGCAAAAGAAGAUGAAUCAUCCUCUACCAUGAAAGAUACAACCUGAACACAUUAAAUCCAAGAAUAGCACUAUACAUAUUCUUAGCUGAUAUUUGUUUCAAUAUUAUUUUAUUUCUAUAGACGUACAUAUGUGAAUCAACUUAACACGAGCACUACAGCUCUUCUCGAGGUUUCUUCACGGCAAACCCAUUCUCUACCCAUGCGGCAUACCCACCUCCCAUGUUCUGAACAUGCUUGAAACCCUGCAAUUUAAUUGAAAACACCACCUCAAUUUCAUAUAAAAAACAAAACCAUGCAUCUCCACUCCAAAAGAAUGGCCAUGUCUGCUAGCACCACAGAGCUAAGGGUUGAAAGUAAAGUAACCAUUUUUUUUUUCCCCUUUUCUGGUUCAAGCUGAACCUGAUUGUAUUCUUUACUAAAAUCCACGGCAGUUCUAUAGAUUUGGCUUAGUUUUCUAGCCAAAUUACAAGGUCAUUGGAUCUAUAAUAGAUUAGAACAGGCAUAUAGAUUAAAUUAUAUAUGGUUAGCAGAUCAAUUUAAUCUAUAGUGAAGGAGAAAGAGCAACAAGCUUGACCUAGUUUACCUCAGUGUGGAGGUUCUUAGCACAAAUUAAGGUAUAACAAAUGAAAAGGAGAAUUACAUCAAAAAAAAAAACAAAUUAAAAGGAGAUAACCUAUAAAUGUAGACACAAUUUUCUUAGGCUAUCUUCUUUUUUUCUUCUUGUUCUCUUUUUCUUUUUUUUGCUAAAAAAAAAAAAGAAGAAGAGGGGUGAGGAGAAUCUCACCCGCGUAGCAACCUCCACUGGGCUCCCUCCCCACUGGAGAGUGUUCGAUGCGGGUGGAAUAUUUUUUACUCAUACUCUCUCCAUCUGUGGCAGAGCUCCACCUGUGUGGUAGCCCUAUCUCUGUGUGAGUACAUCACACUAGCACCACCUAAAUAAUGGCACGACUUCACCAGACAAACCAGACGGAGGGCAUCCGGUCUCCACAUUUAAUCGACGCCCACAUGUUUCAAACCUGGGCCACUCCGGUUGAAAUCAAAGCCCCAUUCUCACCGUGCUACUACCUCGGUAAUUUAGGCUAUCUUUAUGGUAGCUUACUCUUCAGAUUUCUAGUAAUCACAUUAAAAUACGGUGUCUUUCAUCUAAUGGUAUAAUAAAGUCUAGACAUGGCUCUUAGCUUUCCCUGUAACUUCUUAUUUAUUUCAAUGCCUUUGUUUUUAUUUUCGCUCCUUCAUUACCGAAAUCUGUAAGAAGAAGGGAAGAAACCACUCACAGCGUCGAGAAGAUCCACAGCAGCUUGGAGGGACCGCACUCCGCUUAGACAUCCCUAUUCAGGAAGAAGGAAAAAAAAUUAUUUCCACAUGAAAGGAGAAAAGGGAAAUAAAAGAGAGGAAAAAUUGAAGAUGAGCUACCACAACUAUGUGAUCAUCCUUGUCGCAAACCAACGAGACCUGCUCCACGAACUUGAGAUUUUUCUCCUUUCCUGAUCCACGUUACCACAAUUUCAAUGGCAUGAAAGAAAUCGAUUCAAAGGAAAAGAAAUUAGCAGAGGCUUACCUUGUGGGGUGAAGAAGAGAUAGGGGACGUUUAUGGCGUUCUCCAAAUGGCCCUUGUUGAACUCCUCGACCGUCCUAAUGAAUUAGUAAAAACAAAUUGAAGAUUAGAAUAAGGGGGAAGAAGGAAAGGCGAAGGGAGAAGAGAGGAAAGCGCACCUGACGUCCAGGUAGCGGUGGCCGGAGUACACGAGGCGUUUCGCGGCGUGGACGUCCACGGUCGCAAUUGCUUCCGAGCUACCAGAAAGAGGCGGCCACAGGAAAAGAAGAAACAAGGCGAUAACAUUACAAGAACAAAACCAUUUCAACGCCCAAUGAGAAGCCAUGGCCUUCUAUUCUUUAAAGCUGGUGAAUUAGAGAUUAGAAAAAAAAUAGAGGGGAAAUUGGGAGGGAGAGUGAGGAGAGAAAAAAAGAUUAGAGGGAAUUAAUUUGGUUACCUUAAAAUGGGACUCGUCGAGGGAUCAAAGUAGAAGGAAGAGGAGGCGAGAAUCGGAGGGCGGAGGAGGGAGGGUCUGUGGGUGCCGCCGGUGGUUUUCCAGGCUCUGGUUUUCCUCUCCAACGGCGCCGACGGGGAUAGAAAGGUCCCCCGAUUCCAUAUUUCCGUAUUAUUUUUCUACGAGCAAGAAGGAGAGGUUUUCCCCAUACGUGACCUGAAGUGGGAAUUGUAACAUAUCAACUUCCAAUUGAACGCGAGGCGCGACAUCUGUCCAGUAUUUUUCUUGUACGGACGUAAUGAGCGAUGGCACGCAACACCAUUUAUAUUUUUAAAAAUAAAAAAAUAAUAUAAUUUAGAAUUAUUUCAUUCUAAACUUAUAAUAAUUUUAAUUUAUUUACAUAAUUUUUUUAAUAAUAACUUCUGAUAUUAGUCGUGUUAGAAUGAUGCUGGUGUUGCAUGCAAAAUGGCAAAAAUUUUGGGCCUAAAAAAGAAGCACUACCACUGACGUGGUAGCUCAGAGAAAUUGGCUUUUACUUCCACCCAUGUGGUUCGAAUUCGAAACGUGCGGGCGCCAAUUAAAUACGGAGACCGGAUGCCUCUUGCUCAGAUACGUGGGAUGGGAGGGCUUAUUGGUCCGUUGAUAGCAUCAGUGGUGCCGGGUGUGAUGUACUCACACAGAGGUUCGAAUCGGAGCCUAGAGGAGUAACCAAGCUGGACCACGGAUGGGGAGAGUAUCAAUAAAAACGGCCGGCAUGCCCAACACACGGUCAGUUCUACCAACAUCGAACAUUCUCCUAGCCGGAUGGGAGUCGGGUGGAAGUUGCUACGCGGGGGUGAGCUUGUUCCUUCCUUCCCUCCUUGCCUUUUCGCCUAAAAAAAAAUCUAAAAUUUUAAAAAUAUUUGAAUUAUAUAUAUAUAUAAUUUUUUAAUUAAAAAAUUGAUAUGUAUUAAUAGAGCACCAGCGAGAUAGAGGAAAUACAUGUAAAAUCUUAGUGGUGGCUACGAGACCUGAUGCACUUUAGACUAUGGAAACCGAUGCCAUAAAUGGUGCUCAGCUGGUCUUAUUCUGCCUUCCAAAGCAAGUUCAACAACAAUAUUCGGCAAGCAAACAAGAAAAGCUGUUCUCGUGCAUGGUCAAAUAAGUAUUUCUAUGGAGAAGCCCUGAAUAUUCAACAUCACCAUCAUUGUUCAAGCAUUUUGUGAUCAAAUUAAUGCAGGAUUGGCUAUGUCAUACUUACAGGAAAAAACAUAGCUAAUUAAGGAUAUACAAGUGUUCGGGAAACAUAUUUAAGGAACAAAUUCAAUUUGGUUGCUCCAAAAUUAUGAUACACGUAUUUGCAAACAGUGUGAAAACCAGGUUGUACUCAACAUACUUCGGAUAUAUCUAUAACUAAUGCGAGAGAUUUGUUCAUUCUAAUCCUUUGCUGAAAGCACUAGAAUUGAGAAAAAAAGAAAGGAGGAGACAAUAUUGGAUUGGGCAAGAUCUCAUUAGAAGUGUAUUAUAUAUCCUUUUAAUUAUAUAUAGACCUCUUUUAUGUCACAGUAUAUAAGAUAAAAAAAUAACUAACGAUGGUGUCUGGACGCACACCAAGAGAUUAAGACUCACUAUAGCAUAAGAGAAAAAUAAAAUAUUAACAAAGAGUAAAGGUGUGUUUUAGCAUGCAUCCAUGCACAAAAAGAGAACAAAAUCAAGCCAACAAGAGGAAUAGCUUUUGCUUAAUUGGUUGACUAAAAUUUAACUUAUUUAUAGAAUUACCCUUACCUCAAAAUACUCCAAGGAAAACAAGUAGAAACCAAUUUCUCAUUAAUUUAUAUAUACUCUUUAUACAUGCUUUUCUUUUAUAGUUUCCACAACUAACAUCCUUCGUCAUUCUUUCCUGUUUUCCACUUUGCGGACUCUAGUUGUUCUCCCCGGUAGACUGAAGACCAAACAUAGCCACCCGACUUCCAUUUCUCUGCGUCAAAUAUAUUUGUUACACAAUUAGGUUGGUGUGUGGAAGCAUUGCCAAACAUCGACUUAAGCCUGACUCAUCAUGUAAUACUCGUCAAAAUCAUUUUAUACCGUGUCGAGACGGUCGUUAAGUGAUACCGCUUGGAGGAGUCAAUGACCUGCAAUUUUUGGUCGUAAGAUAUUUCUAGAUUUGGUACGCGUGAAACCGCGUCUAACUUUAGGUGGUUUAGGGUGGUGUAAUUUUUUUUUUUUUUUUUGGUUAUUGUGUGUGUGUUUCAGUCGGAUACACCAUACUAUUCUAAUAUGAGUACAUUCAAAAAAAAUCAGAAUAAAGAAGUGAUGCAAAGGAGAGAUGGAGCGAACUUUUAGCUCUUACAAAGCUAGCAGCUGAAAUGCUGCACAACAAAUGAGGCGACCCAAUCAACUGCGUUGUUCAUUUUAUGAUAAGCAUGAGUAAUCUGUAAAGCCACAGAUGUUCCAUAGCCGUGAGUGCUCAUCUCCUACUCUCAUACAUACUUGGAUCUAUCUAAUCAUAGUAGCCGAAUCUCUUUCUAGAUGGUUGGUUUUGAAUGGAGAAAAAAUUAUCAGUAUUUUUUGGUCAAUCAAGACUUUCCAUAUGCUAAACUGAGAUGGUUUCAUUUAAUUUUAUUUUUUUGAAUUUUUUGCAUAGAUAUCCUUCUAAAUAUCGAAUUUUGCAUAAAUACCAUUUCAAAAUUGAUAUUUGCAUGUAUAUCCUCAUAAAACUUUGUUAUUGUAUAAAUGCCCCUAAUAUAACAAUUGUUUUAACAGUGUUAAGAAAAAAUAUAUUUAUAUUAAUUAAAAAUAAAAUUAAAAAAAUUAUUGUAUUGUCCCUAUCUUUUUAUACUAUCGGGAUCGCGAUCUAUUUCCAUAUUUAUCCAUUAAGGAUAUUUUAGUCAUUUUAAUUUAAAACCGUUAAUUUUUUAGCGUCAUUAGAUAGCAUUGGUAUACAUGCAAAAACAAAAAUAAAAAUAGAAUAGAAUAGCAAAACAAGUAUUUUACGAAGAUAUACAUACAAAUAUCAAUUUUGGAAAGGCAUUCAUGUGAAAUCUAAUAUUUAGAAGGAUAUUCAUGCAAAAAACUCUUUAUUUUUUAUUGGCUCGUUGUUUUUUUGGAGCGACUUUUCGUUUUAUUCACUAUAUUCUCAUCUCAUUAUUCAUAUUUUUCAUUUUUGAUAUCGUUUUAUUUUUAUUUAUUUAUUUUUAUAUGUGCAAUGCGCACGCCAGUUUUCUAGAUGAUAUAAGGCUCCCGUUAUUUAACCACCAAAGUGGAAUCAACAAAACAGAAGCAAGCCAACCCGAGAAAUUAGACGACCAAAAAGGGCAGGUCAACCGGAGAAGUUCCGCAUGGCAGUCUGCCCGACCACUUCUCGCCGUCAUCAUCCCCAGCCCCUCUCACCGUCGCCUCAUAAUCCCCUGCCCCUCUCGCCGACGCCGCUAUCAGAAAAGCCCAAGGCCCGGCCCGACGUCCCAAGCUACCAGGCCAGAUGGGGCUCCAGUCUAGCUAAUUUUGGUCAUAUGUGGGGCUUAGCCUGGGCCGAACCCGGCCCGGCCUGCCUGAUAAGCAGGUCUAGUAGCGGACGUACCGUCUCUCCAAUAUCGGAGGUAAGGGCAGAGACUCCCAUACAAGGUUUAUCACAGUACAUAAAAAAAAAAAGAAGAAAAAGAGGAGGAAGAAGAAGAUUACAACAAACGGUCAUUUUAUACAGUCACCGUAUGCUGACAUCAUAAAAAUAGGUUACAUGCUAAAAGCAGAGAUCAAUUCAGUGCCAGUUCCCGAGCAGCUCCGUAUCAGCUCAACACCCCCUCAUGCUCAUCAAAAACCAAACACGCGAGUGAGACACAUCCGCGUCAGAACACAGCUAAACACCGAGUACUCUCAGAAGGGUACACGAGAAUACAGAAGAUGCACAAAUGGGUAGAAGGAUUAACAAAUGAGAGCAUGACGAGGCAAACAUGACAAGAAGCAUGAAACAGAUGGUUGGAAAGGACAGUUGAUUGCUCCCAGCUUUUGCCUGCAUUGCAUUGUCCAUAGAGAAGUGCAUGCUCUAGAUUCAUAUGCACACCCCUCGGAUCUUACAGAAGGCACGAAAUUCCAUGAAGACAUUCGAAGCGGAAGCGUAAGCUGCCAAGCUUAUUCCACUUACAGAUGCAACACGAGUAGAAGAUGGAUAACUCGUAAAUAGUUGCCAAACUUAUUCCAUCACUCAGCCCAAUGCAAGUUGAUUUGCUUAAAAUCAAGUAGCCUAUUCUCCCGAGCUCAUUUCAUGCUUGCAAAUUGGGCAGAACGUUCCCCAUUUCGUCAGCCAUGAGUCCACACAAACUGCAUGGAAAUCUGUGAAGGAAUUUAUGAGUUAAUGUUGACAAGUGGGGAAAAAGAUGCAAAUCGCAUCCUCCAUGAUUAAUAAGCUUAAAUAGUCACCUGCGUCUGGCUUCAUGUAACCAAAUUCAAAUGCAGAAAGUAAUUUUGCCAGGUCCUUAUCAUCAGGAACACAGGUUUUAACUAGUUAAUACUCAGGAAUUAAAAGAUAUUAACCGUUCCAAGGUUUGAAGAACACGCGCUAUUUUACAAUUCACCAUGCAGGGAACAUCACAUUUGACUUCAAGUGACAGUAGAAUCUAAAAGUAUAAGUUCUGGUGACAGGCCAAGAAUCAAACAUUCUAAAGUUGUCAUGUUGCAGUUAUAAAUGCCAAGAUUCUUGUCGAAAGAAGCAUCUGGUUUUCAAGUGCACACAAGCCCCUCGGUUGUCAUCCAACAACAGAAUUAGCAAUCAAGUAAUGGUUCAACUAACACAAGUAUAACUUUUCAUUGAAUAGAUUAAAACUAAAUAUGCGAAUCCAGCUUACCAUGAAGACAGGGAAGAACCCUCAGUCUCUCUCCAUCUCUGUAAUCCUCAAGACAAAUGGCACAAGUUUCUGCCAUGCGCUUGCUAUUGACAUAGGAACUUUUGAAUGUGAAAGAAGGAAGUAGUUCCACUGCCUGUCUGUUCAUACUAGGAGGCCGCUUAUGGGCUCCAUGCCUUAGAAGCCGACAAUUUCGAGCAAAGAGAAAUGCUGCAAGAACUGAUACUAUGACAACAAGUGAGACAAAAGAAAUCACCAACACUGUUCCAGCAGUCUCAUCCAUAGAAGAACCUAUACAACAUUCUCCUUCUUCACCUCGAGCAAAUUUCUUUAGUGUCUCACCUGCCAUCUUUGAAACAAAUACUGCAUGUAUAUAAAUGCCCGUGGAGUCCCCGAUCACUACAGCCAAAAAACAAAUGAUUAAUUGACAGUGUAAAAGAGGGACAAGAAACUGCACAAGAGACAAAAGUGUGCAGCAUUAUGAAUGGACUAAAAGAUGAUAUGGAUCUGCCAUAGUUGUCACAGUAGCAGUAUAGGGCAAGCAGGUAUUGGGAUUGUUAUAUCAACCCAAGCAAGUGGAGCAAAAGCCUAGGAUAAAUUUAGCCUACAAGGUUGACAAUAAAGUCAAGCAUAAAAUCCACAUAUAGAUUCGCUUCAAGUCAACCAAACCCUCCUUGAACUAAUCUACAAAUAUGGCAAACCAACUACUUCCUGACAUCACAAUCUGGCCAAGACUUAGGAUUGAAUGCCAAGCCCAUCUCAAUGAUAUAUCCUUCAUGAAGCAUGAAGAAUAAAUUAAGUAUAUUAAUCGUAAUAACCAAUUACACAGUCGAUAUAUACAUGGAUUUGACAUCGCACAAUUGGAUACCAGUGUCGAACAUAACAGGUUCUCAAAAUCCAAGUACGUUGACACAGGGGUUAUAGAUCUAGGCACAUACAUAUGCAUGUCCUCAUGUGGCCUAUGCUGCUAAUGUACAUACAAUUAUGUAUGCACUAAAUGAAAUGUUUGCAUGUGCCAGACACUGCAAAAUGAAAACCUGUUCGACUAGAUUAACAAAAUAGGAUUCUCAGUUUAUGCUACAUGAGACUCCUGUGGUGAAAACAAACCAAACUAAAUUAGAUAAACAUGGAAAUUUUCACUCAAGAAAAAAAUGAAAACAAUGAAAAAGUUGAAUUCUUUGUUUAUUUGCAUGUUAUUGAGUAGUAAGGAUUUUGAUUUGGUGUAUCAAGUGGAGAGAACCUAACAACUUAUAAAUUUAAUUUUACCAAUGUGCUAGCUUAACUUCUGGGGUGGACUCUGUAGUUUCCUAAAAGUUCUAGAUCAGUUGCCUUUGGUCCAACUUCGCAAUGCAUGGUUAUGUCUAUUAAAUUUAAGGGUCAUUACAGAUAGGUUGAGAGCCAUCUAUGAUCACUGGAACCUUUUUCUGAUGCAUUUGGAAAUGAUUCAAUGUGGAAAUGAUUUCAAAUAAAAGAACUCAAAAUGCUUAGAUGUUCUUGGCAAGAAUCUAUAAGAGCAUAUGAAUCAAUCAAUAUUGUUUGGUUGUCAACUCCACAUCUGUCUUCUUUGUCUUCUUUGCCUUUCUUCCACUUUCAACAUCUCUUAUUUACCACCACUGUAUCAGACUAUUUGCAUCAUGAUCUGUUCCAGGGCCAUCUGUUUUAUGAUUGUUUCUUUUGGCAGAAAUUGGUAAAACUUGAGUUGUUUAUCUGCCUUCAUGAGGACUGUCUAAUAAAGAAGAUUUUUCUGUCAUAACUUCUUUGAAUAAUAACUGAAGGUGUGUUAACCUUAAACAGUAAUAUAAACUUGUUCCAUCAGUGUAACGUAUCUCCUUACAUUUAAUCCCCAAUAUUCACAGUCAUACUUCUAUAACCUUCCCCCAACAAGAUAUACUACACAUAUAACCUGAACAACUCCAUAACCACGGGGGGAAUGAAAAAUGUAUAUUCAUACUUAGAUUU
rnacentral:lncRNA from 1 species